UAACUGUGCUGGGAGAACUUGAGGCAAAGUUGGUGUAAAUUUUUGAAUGCAUUUUGUCCUAUUGAAUUGGUUAAAUGAAAACAUAGAAAAUGGGGUGUAAUUUUUAGUAAAUUGAAUCAAAACUGGACAAGAAUAGGACAUCGAGUGCGUAUUCGUCAUCCAUUCCAAAUCCUCCCACAUGGUCAGUAUAGUGAGUAUUUCAUCAAUCAGGCUUCAGUAUCCCAAAUAGAGCGCAGUCUCAAAUGCACAUACCUAGACUCUAGCGACCUUGCUCUUCACACCAGAAACAUCAUCAAAUUUGGUUCAACAACGUCUAUCAUUCUGAUAGCAAAAUCAACCCCAAUAAGAUUUCAACCUCGGGAAACUGUGACUCCAAGACAUCCGACGGCAGCGGAUACAUCAAAUCCAAACCAACUCCAACCGCAGCUUCCCAAAGUAGAAUCCUCUUAACUUCUUUAUUGACCCGACAAAGUUUAGCAGGCAAAUAUCGAAUGGCUUCCAUUUAAGCACGAAGAACCAAAUCGGAAAAUCACAGACAACUCACUUAAAAUAAAGAUUCCAACAAAGCUCCAUGCAGGUGCCAUUUAUGGUGGCGAAUUGAAAUACAAUUGCAAAUUAUUGGGCACUUUAUCAACCUGAUUGGCAAGACAUUCAGUAUUUCAGAAUUCUUUUAUGUUCACAAACAGUUUCAGCUCUGCAAAGCUUUCUGUAGAAGGUGAUAAGGGCAAUACGGGAUAACAACAUGUGGAGAUCCUUACCGUUCCACGGAUGUAUCAUCAGCAUUUGGAGAAGUCCAAGCAACAUCGAGCUUCCUUUUAGAAUUGCCUUUCGAAAGCUCUUUUGGGCAUCUCGGCAUUUACAUCACAACCAGAUGGAUGAUAAUCAAAUCCUAUCAGUGAAUCAAAUCAAAUCGAUCUAGCAAUUAACAUCAGCGAACUACUGAUAUUACACCAAAGUUCACAGAACUUUCUUUGUAAAACUCCAAGUAAAUGCACAAAUAAGAGAUUAUGCAUAAUAUAAGGGAUUAUUAUACAGUGCAAUCGAUUAUUUCAAAAGACAUUCUCGUUCAUGUCUGCUAUCUUGAUUAUUUGCUUGACUCAAAAGUUCCGAUAAUGGACAGAUGACUUUGCUAACUAUCCAAAUAUUAAGAAGUAUUCUUCGGACUAAUCUAUUAAUUACCUUGGACUUUUAGGUAUAUCACGGAUUGAAAACAGACGAACAUGCAUUUUAUAAUUAGCAAAAUAUAAGUUGCAAUUUUCUCGAUUGCUCCCAACAAUUCACAAUAGUUUUGCUUCUGGCCUAUUUGCUAGUUUAUUCACAACCAACCCGCUAGGAGAAGAGUCAGUUCUAGCAUUUAGUGUUUCGUCACCGAUACGUUUACGUUAAUAAGCUAAUGUGGACAUUUUGUGAGAUAAAAUGUGGGAAACACAACGGCUUGACAAAUUUAUCCCAAGUUGUACCUUAGAAUCCUAAAUUCACUCUUAACCGUACCUUAGAAAUAUGCAGUCAUAAACUGUACGAAGAACACAGAGCAAACUAAGACCUCACAUCAGAAGACUGAAAACAAUGAUGCACUUAGAAGGCCUUUCGAUCAUUUCCAUGAACCUCGUCCCUGGAUUGCUUGAAUUAAAACAAGAAAACAAUAACACUGUCAACGAGGAAAUACUAAUGAAAAGUUGAUAAAAGUCAAAAGAAGUUGCAAUCAGGAAAUACAAAUGAAAAUUGGAUGACAGAUCUCCAAAGGAAAAAGGUAGCUUAACUGCUUUAUGUACCUUUUUUAGGAAAUGCAGAUCAUCUCAACUAUUCUAACUUAUCCGAGUCGUCUUGUCCCAAUUUACCAAUCCCUAGCUUCUAAUUGCAUCGCAUGUUGCUCUAGCUCGUAAUUUUGAUAAAGCUGCCCUCUAGAUAAUUCUGGUAUUGUCUUGAGAGACUUGCAUCCAGAAAUGUCCAAUUCCACAAGUUGCUGCAAUUUCUCGAGCCCUUGAAGCUCAGUCAGUUUCACACAAUUUUGCACAAUCAGACACUCCAAGUUGGUACAUGAUGAAAAAUCAGGUAAGAUCUCAAUCGACGAACAUCCCAAGAUAACAAUAAAUCGUAGGGAUGUCAACUUCUCAAGUCCUAGGAUCUCCCCAAGUUCAUCACAAUUUAACAGGGACAAAUACCGUAAAUUAUGAAAAUUUGACAAGUUUGGUAAUUUUGCUAAGAACUUGCAAUCCCUUAUAUAUAAAAUCUUGCAGGAUGUGAGUCUCUCUAGGUUCUGAAUAUCAUGAAGCUUGUCACAGGCAACAAUUGCCAAUUUUUGUAAGGUGUCAAAGCAACAUAAAUUCGGUAACCUUACAAGGGAAGUGCACAUAAAGAUUGUUAGCUCUUCCAAGAACUCCAUUUUAUCGAGGCAUUGAAUUUCGACUAAGUUUUCGCACUGAACAUUUAAUAUCUUCAAACCCUCACAUUUUGAAAGGUCCAGCUGUUCAAUUGCAUCGCAAAAACUGAUAUCUAUCUCUCUCAAGAACUUCAAACCCUCAGAUUUUGAAAGGUCCAGCCAUUUAAUUGCAUCGCACCCCGAGAUUUUUAUCUCUCCCAAGAACUUCAAACCCUCAGAUUUUGAAAGGUCCAGCCGUUUAAUUGCAUAGCACUCCAAGAUUUCUAUCUUUCUUAAGAACUUCAAACCCUUAGAGUUUGAAAGGUCCAGCUGUUCAAUUGCAUUGCACCCACCGAUCAUUAUCUCUCUCAAGAACUUCAACUUAUUGAGGCCUUGAAUUUCGACCAAGUUUUCACAGUAUUCAAGAUGUAAAGUUCUCAGACCAUUGGAUUUUGAAAGGUCCAACCUUUCAAUCGAAACCCAUGAGAUAUGAAGGGAUUCCAAGAGCAUCAUCCUAUCGAGGCCUUGAAUUUCGACUAAGUUUCCACAAUCAUCACACCUUAACCUCUUUAGAUAUUUGGAUUUUGAAAGGUCCAACUUUUCAAUUGAAUCGUUGCCAGAUAAUUCUAGGUGUUCCAAGAACUCUAACCUAUCAAGGCCUUCAAUUUCACAUAAGAAAUUCUCAAAUUCAAUACAUAGUAUCUUUAAACCCUUUGGAAGGUCUAGCUUUUUAAUUGUGCACUCACUAAUACAUAGAUUUUCCAAGAACUUUAGCCUAUCGAGACCUUGAAUUUCAACUAAGUUUUUGCAAUAAAUAUCUAAGUUCUUUAGACCCUCAAACUUUGCAAGGUCUAGCCUUUCAAUUAAAGGGCAAUACUUGAUCUUUAAUUCUUCCAAGAACUCCAACCGAUUGAGGCUUUGAAUCUCGACUAUGUUUUCGCAAUGCUCAACACAUAUUGUCUUCAAAUUCUUAGAUUUUGGAAGAUCUAGCCUUUUAAUUGAAUUGCACAUUGCGAUGAUCAAGCUUUCCAAAUAUAUCAAUUUGUCAAGACCUCGAACUUCAUGCAUUUUAUAGCAAUGCUUCAUAGAUAAUGUCCUCAACUGGUUCAAUUGUGAAAUGUCCAUUAUUUCCCUAAACGUGAUUUUUGAAGCUUUUAAAUCUCGGAGCUUUCUCAUCCUAAAAAUACCAUCGGUUAAUUCUAACAUGCCCAGGGCACCAAUAUGCAGAAUUUCUAGAUUUUGUAAAGCUCCUAUGCUAUCUGGCAGCACCUUGAGAUCACAGUACUUCAACGUCAAACGUACCAGGUUGUUCAUGUCUCCAAUAGAAGAAUCAAUUUGCUCUAAUUUCAUACAACGAUAGAGUAUCAGAACCUCUAAAUUCUUAAAAGCUGAGAGGAAGACCGUACUUCUUAAUGAUUGACAACCUGUAAGGUCAAGAAAUUUUAACUUCUCUGCCAUCUGGAAAAAACAUAACAAUAAAAAUCGAGGGUUAGCCUAGAGCAAUUAUGAUUCCAAAGAAUGCAGAAAAAGUAAACUUGUCCUUCAAUCUUACCAUGGAACUCCAUCCUUGCCAUUCAUAUGAGAUUUUGCUCAAAGACAAAUCGAGUACGACUAAUUCCUUUACGCGAAAAUUGUUUGCUUCAAAAGUUGAGGGACAACCCCGCCAUCGAAGCCAUUUUAACUCCGCCAUUGAAUUCUCAAGAUCUCCUCUAAGACAUGCCCGACUCACAUCAAGGAACCUUAGACCUGUUAACUUCUUGAAUUGCUCAGCCUCAAAAUUCUCGAAUGGCUGGGAAUGGUGAAAUUUGUUAAAAUAAAUGGCCUUAAUCUUUUCUGUUCCCUGUAAGUAAUCAUCAAUGUUCGUUAAUCCUAUUUAUAUUCAACAAAACUAAUAUAAUAUUAUUUGUUCAUAUUGCUAUAACAUGCCUAGACGUUCUUAAGAGACUAGCAAAGUAUCAACAUAUCAACUUUGAUUUUGAAUGGCCAUACGUAUUUGGAUCUUAAAAAGAAUUAUGAUGUUCUUUUUUUUUUGGUUUUGUUUUAUUUUGUAUAAUAGUUUGUAUAGUAUUACUCUUUAGUAUAAUGGCUCAUAAAGGGUAAAACUUUACAACCUGCAAAUCCUCUUCUUUCCGCUAAUGUCCCUGCAUUACUAUAUUAGUUAGGAGUUAGGACGUACAUUCAAUGCACACGAUUUCACAUUAUGAAGUCCUUUUCUUUUCCGCUUCUUCUUAUGUAUAAAUUUCAUAUAUGUUACUUGAGUGUGCUACUUACCCGAUUAAUAAAGACUAACAUAUACUCACUGUUGUUUUUCCCAUUGGCGUAAUGUAUAAUUAUAAGUAACUGAACUUGUGAUGGUACUUAUAUUAAUAUCCUGUGUAAUUUAUUUUGUUAUUACUAAUAACUAAAAUAUCAUCAAUCAAUUACUUUCUAAUUAUAAGUAUUAUAUCCUCUAUAACAUUGUUUUAGCAUAAAUUAUGACUUACUUAUAGAUUACAAUAUGAUUUAUUCUAAAAAAAUCAUAACUAUAGAUGAUUGAAAUAUUUAAAUAUAAUAAUCAUAGAUAUAAUAACUUUGGUCUGUUCCAACAUAAUUAGUUAUUAAAUAUGCAAAGUCAUCGCUGAAAUAUGAAAAUUGAAGCUAUUCUUAGCUACAUGGAAUAGCUUUUCCUUGGCCCCCUAGAAAAAAUAGUCCUGAUUUUGAGAGAAUAAAAAUACCUAAUCUAUUUUUGAAUCAAACGAAAGAAUAACGGCUUCAUCAGAACAAACUAUAAACAGAAUAGCUAUUCUUGCGAACCAUUGUAGCAAGCUUUCAUCAAGAAAAAUCACUAAAGCAUGCGAAGUGGAGAAGUAAUUUAGAAAAUUCAGGGAUUUCCACAAGUCAAUUUCUCCGAACAAGAAAAUUUCCUAUUGUACUUCACAUUGUUGUACAAGAUUUUUUGGAUACUUAAAGGAGAAUGACGUAACUAGUGGAGAAGGAAAUAGAUUUCAACACCUUAUAGGAAUCCUAGUUAAGAGUAAUUAUAAAGAAAGGAAGCAACCUCCAAAAGAAGUAAUCAUACUCAGAUUAGUCAUUUCCCUCGUAAACUUCCCUAAAAAUAUCAAGAAAUCCUAUCUGUCACCAAGAAUUCUUUGUUUUCAAGUGUGUUAACUUUUUCACUUUCAAGAAUCGGUCCAUAGAUUUGGAGUGUACUUACAGCCAAAUCCCAAAAAUAAGCCUAACUUUUUGUAAUUGGGACAAAGGCAGCACAAUCUUUGAAUCGCACCAGAAAAAUGCCUAACCUUUUACAUCUAGAGCAAACAUUACAUAACCUUUCAAACUUAUUAAUUAAAAAAAAAAAAAAAAACCAAUCAUCUAUCCGUGGAACAAAGCUAACACCCCUUACAACUGUCAUCCAUUGUCAUCGUUAAAUCACCACAAAUACCCUACAUGGUUCACUGUGCCGACAUACACAGCGAACCAUAUCAACAAACACAAAAAACUAGGUUGUUUUCCUAUUUUUAAUAACCUUUGUACCAAAUUUUUAGCAUUUUGAAAUAUAAAAAUCUAUUUAUGAUCAUGAUUAUUGCGGUUUACUGUGUAUGUUCGGACAUUGAGCUGUGUAGAAUAAUGCGCGGCGAUUUAAAGUGAGAAUAAGCAGAAUUUGUAAAGGGUGCCAAUUUUGUCCAUUGAAUGAAAAGUGUAAUAUUUUCGACCCACAUGCAAAAGGCUAGGCUUCUUUUUACGCUCUUUUAAACUUAGUGUUAUUUUUCUCUCAGGUGCAACACUUUGUAUUUUUAUUUAUUUGGUCGUAUACUCAAUAAUACCCAUGGAAUGAGUUAAAAAUGUGUUUCAAUUAUGCUUUAUAUGUCAUUCGUUUCUUGUUAUGUAAGUUGUAUUGUCUAUGCUUCUCACUUCGCAUAGGUUUUAUCAAAGUCGAUCGUAUUUUUAGAUGAUAUAAAUGAAAGUAACUUUAGGUAUUUUUAUUAAUUGUAGGAAUAAACUUAAAAAAUCUUAUAUCAGUUUUACCAGAGGCACUUUGAUUUCGACUUAUGAUGGUAACUUGAAUUGAACGGAGUGGAAGUAUAUCCUGCAAAAAUAUUGAAAUAAUGACGUGAAAUAUGCACCUUUUUAGUUUUAAAAUUUAAUUUUACUAGUUUAUUUAGAUAUAAAGUAUACAGGAUAUUCAUUUUUCUUUUGGUUAGUUUAGCUUAUUUGUGAUAUAAUUUGAAAAAAAAAAUAGACAAAGGCUUUGAAUUUGUUAAUACAUGAAUUGGCUAUUGAUAUUAUACAAGUUUGCACAUUGAGAAUGCAAAUGGGAGCUAGUCUUUUGAGCAACAACUUGAGUCAAACCAUACAAUGGAUUAUAAGUAGUAGAGUCAAAAUCACAAUUAGCUACACAAAUCCCGCCAUGUUCACUCCUAUUAUACUAAUUUGAGAAAAUUUUAAAUAAGGACUUGAAGUGGAGUGUUUUUUCAAAAGAGGACCUGAAAUGGACGUUGUCUCAAAUAAGGGUCUCAAAUGAUGGAUUUAGUGUCAAAUAAGAGCCUCGGUAUGGAUUUUACUAUGUGUUACAAAACGCCCAAUGUGGUUGUGAUUAUGCUUUAUGGUGGCAGACAGGUUGUCCAAGAUGACAGGUUUCAUCCUUACGAGGAUACAUCAUCUGCGUCAUAUUGGCUUAGAUUUUUCUGGCUUGAACAAGAGAUAUUUAUAUGACUCUAGGAAAUCUAAUUCAGAGCAUUUGUGGAGACAAGUUGAAACAACGGAAAUUUUGCAUUGCCUCAUAUCAGGAUUUUGCAUCCCAUAAUGUGGUUCACUCAGCUAUAAAGAAGUCACAAUUCUAUGUCGUUUACAGGAACCUCCCAGGCGCACAGUGACUUUGCGAUAUAUCCUUCCACCCUUUCCCUCUAGAAGCUCCCAAAACAAGCCCUUAUCAACAUCACCAUAGCCAUAGUCAAACACCCACAUCCACCCAUUCCCUCUAAGCCCUUUGACAUGCACAAAUUUAAGCUCUACACCUACUAAAGACUCCCUCUUGCAAUUUAAGGCGUCGAAAAAGAUCUGCAGACGUUGAGUCUUCCAAGUUCUCUUCUUCCUCAGUCACGGCCAAGCAAGGUGAGGGAAAUCAAGAAAGGGCGAAGCGAAGCAAGAAGACAAAGGGCGAUUGUGCAGUGAAGGUGAAGAAAUUGGCCAGAGAAUGGGAGGAUGGUGGUGGGUAAGCGAGGGCAGUGGAGAAGGAGAGGAGUAAGGUUAAGGUGUCUCGAGAUGGAAUUGACAUUGUCAAGAUCUCGUCUCUAUUGGUGGAGGAGAAGUUGACGAAGUGCCAUGAAGAGGCUGUUGAUUGUGACAGAAGGAAUUCAACGUCUUAAGUGGUGGAGAGCGGUAUGAUUUUCACAACCAGAGCGAAGGAGGCUCGAGAAAGAUGAAGUACAAAAAAAAAAAAAAAAGCAAGAGAAAGAAGAAAGAAAAAGAAAAAUAAUGAAAAAUGUUUUUGGAUGAGAAUGCCCCAACACGUGGAUAAGAUUUGGCUAGUCGGUGAAAUUAGGCCCUUAUUUGAGACUAAAUUGACCACUUUGAGGCCUUAAUUUAAGAUGACGUCCACUUCAUACCAUCUUGUAAGAAAACGACUCCACUUCAAAACCUUAUAUAAAAUUUGCCCUACUAAUUUGAAUUCUAUGAUUUAUAUAUCCUAGAUACUAAUUAGUUAUGGUUUACGGUAACAUAAUCCAGUUAUUUAUUGCAUGUGUGAAGGACAAAACUGAAUAAACGCAGCGUUUAUUCCACGAAACUCAAAAUUUGAAAAAUAUUUUCCAAAAAACGACUGCCUGGGCAGUUUUCAAAAAUGAAUAAGUGAGAAAUAUUUUCAUCAUUCACGAAAAUAAUCGGCAUAAAUUGUUGUCGAUAAUUAAAUAAUUUCCGUGACUGAUUUUUCUAAGCAAUGUAGUCAAUCAUUUUUCAUAAGAUAUUUUCCAAAUCUUAAGUUUUAUGUUAAACAAAUACACUUAAAAAUUAGGGAGUCUUUCAAUAUAGAGCACCUUUAUUGGUUAUCUAAUAAAUUGUUGAGUACCUCAUUCUAGGAGAUAUAUUCGUAAUGUACACUUGUUUAAAAAAAAAUCUAAGGUAAGUUGCACUACUUUUCAAGAGCGAGCAAUCUCCUAGUUUAUAAUCACUAAUCACGUCAAUAGAAGGACAUGAGGGUAAUAAUAUUAAAAGGCUCUCUACUCACUAGAGCAAGCAUUAAAGUAAAGGACCAGCAUCACUUAGACAAGAGAACAUGAACUUAGGAAGCAAAAAAAGAGAAACUGUUACCUUAUUUUCCUUUAGCACUUUCAGGACUUCCUUGGAGUCCCACAACCUGCUACGGUAUUGAGGCUCUUCUCGAUUCUCCUCGCGAACGAUUUCCCUACCAAGAUCUCUCAACUGGUCAUGCAUUCUGAGCUUAUGAUCAUCUCCAAUUUUUAUUAAUGACAUAAACCUCAACAUUUCAAUUCCCUCCUCUGGGAAAAACCCGCAUGCAUCCCACAUGUAGGAUGCAAUUCUUCCAUCGGCCCCAAUUAAAAAACAAGCGAUAUCCAAAAAUAUUUCUUUUUGUCUAGGUUCUAAUGCAUCGUAACUUAUCUUUAACUUUUCUUGCACUUUCUUAUGAGGGACUUCUUUUAACCUUUUUAUUGUACCUCUCCAUAGUGUUGGCUCUCUUCCGCACAAAAAUGAGCCUAAAACCUCAAGAGACAAGGGUAGGCCCCCAGUCGUUGAUACAACAUCAUGAGCAAGGUCCAUGAAUUCACUUGGAGGAGAGUCUUUUCGAAACACAUGUCUACUGAACAGGAUCAAAGAUUGCUUCUCAUCCAAUUCCUCAUGUGCAUAGUAGUAGUCCACCCUAGCAUUAUCAAGAAUACUCAUGUUUCUUGUGGUAAUAAGGAUCCUACUUCCUGAAUAAAACCAAUUAUGAUUUCCAGCCAAAGCCUUCAACUGAUCAUCAUCGUCCACAUCAUCAAGAAGAAUGAGUACUUUCUUUUCUUUGAACCUGGAUGAAAGGAACUUAGUCCCUUGAUCCUUAUUAUGAACUUUUUCUUCAUGCUUCAAUAUAUCUAAGAUUAGCUGAUUCUGCAAGUACUCAAGGCCAUUACGGUUACAUAAUUCCCUAACAUCAGAAAUGAAGCUGUGACAUUUAAAUUGAUUGGAGAGCUUGUUGAAGAUAGUUUUAGCAAGAGUCGUCUUACCAAUGCCUCCCAUUCCAUAGAUGCCAAUAAAUAGGGUAAUGUCAGAAUUAUUAGCUACAUCUUUCAUUACCUUCUCCAUAGGAUUAUCAAUUCCCACCAAAUUCUUAGGAAUAAGCAAAUCAAAGUCUUUCUUCAGCUCACUCAACACUUUUUUGACAAUCGAUUUCACUAAUUCUGCUGCAUUCCUGUCAAAGGCGACAAGAGUUCAAGUAUGUGGCAACAACAACUUUAUAUCGUUUAUACAUUGAGAACAUAAUAACAAAAAUAUCCAAGAAUUGUUUUUGCCACCUCCAUAUAUUGUCUUAAUGCUAAGAUUAAAGUAGGAGAGCUUGCAGUUGCUUCACAUGGCUAUUCCAUUAUAAUUCUAAGACAAUUUAUUUAGCAGGAAGAAACUUGAGGUACCGCUAAUGAAUCUUAAAUUUUUAUAUAGUAUCAAUUUGAAUAAAAUUUUAAAAUUGUUGUUUAUUUAAAACAAAGAUGACGUGGAUGUGACUUUGAAAACUUUCUAGAGCAUUUGAAAUAAGCAAAAAUACAAUAAGCUAACUUGUAUGAGACUACAGCCAUCAAUCAAUAAAUAGGUAAUAACUUUUGAUGCAAUAGGAGGUUAAUUCCUAUAAUACCGAGCUAGAAAGUCAUUCAGAGUACAAUACUGUGAACUACCUAAAUACAAUUGAGGAGAUUUCUCCUUAUAUGCGCAUGCUAGCAAGUUUCUACUCAUGCUGUGAAUUUGAAAUCUUUCUAAAUUCAUGUUCUUAUCGAUCUUUAUUGUGUCAAGGGAUAACAAAAGAUUGUACUUUACUUUCCUUUUUGAGUAUCUUUCUUCUAUGAUCUUAAUUAAUCCGAUGUUAAUUUUAGUGGAAGUAGAAGAAUGAUUUUUCCAGAAUAAUUUUUCCUUAAAAUAAGAACAAUGCUUCAAUUUAUGCAGGUGUAUGAGAUAAUAAUGUCUUGAAGAUAAGAAAAUGCAUUGGAAAGAUAUGUAAACAAACAAAUAAUAAAGAUAAUAUAUUUUUCUUUUUUAUAUUUACCAUCAUAUGAAAUAUUUCUUUUGGUAAAAUUGAUUAUAAAAGUAACUCAUUACCGACAUGAUAAUUUAAUAAAUGUACCUUGGGAAGAUGAUGAAUAAUGGCUUUGGCCAUCAACAUGCACGGUAUAUAUUGUAUUAGCUUUAAAUGGGAACCACAUAUAAGUCGAAAUAUUAGUCUCAAAUAAAUAUGCAACUAGAAAAGUCUGUAAUGAAGGCUGAUUUUACUUAUAAUUUAAACAUGAAAAGAAAUGGUACAGUGUUACAAGGCAUCUGGAUAUGGGUGAAAUUUCAUCUAAAAAAGCUUAUAUUAUUUAAGCGAAUGAGAUCAUUUCAUUAGAAUUUAUAAUUAGGUGGGUCAUUAUCGUUAAAGUAAUUCCUAAAAAUGAUAACUUAUAAAACUCAUGCAAUGCAGGAUCUCAUCCCUUUUUAAAAAAGAAAAAACAAGAAAAACAAAAAGGAAGAAAAAAAGCAAGUAGGGAUCAAAACAAUAGUGAACCCCCACACAAAUUAAAAGAAAGUGAAGAAAGUUUUUGGUGAAAAAUGAAGUACCCGUCGGCUUCCCAUCCUUUCAAGUUACUGACUGCAGUGAGUGCUUGCUCGUAUUUCUCCAAAGUCGUUCGGUUGCAGCGCCUCGCUCGCCUACGAAAUGCAUCUCCGAAACUUUCGAUCCGAUACCGCACGUGAGCUGGUUUCACUUUGUAGAAUAUAGGCAACACCAUAUGCCCCGUCUUAUUAUUCUUGCACUCCAUUAUUUGAACCAGUUCAUCGAGACACCAUUUGCUCGAACAAUAAUUCACGGAGAGAAUGGGGAUCGAGAUCUUACUGUUCUUGAUGGCUUCCAAGAGAUCCGGGCCGAUCUCCUCGCCUUGGCAGAGCUCGUUAUUGUCCAAGAAAACAUGAAUUCCGGCAUCCACCAGCCCGUGGUAGAGGUGACUGGUGAAACCAUUUCGAGUAUCUGGACCUCUAAAGUUCAAGAACACCUCGCAACAGUCCCCAGUAGGCGCGGUCGACGAACUAGAUGUGCCGGAAUCGGUUUCCACCGGAGAGGUGGACGAUCCGGCUGGGCGGGCAUCAGCAUCUUCUGCAUUUCUUCGUGCACUGGUUCUUUUCCUAUUGAGAAAAUUGAAAGCAAGCAUGGAGAGGAGGAUCGGUGCCACGAGAACGGCGAAAGAGUGCCCAAAAAUGGGAGGAUGCAUUUCUUCUUUGCUUUGAUUCUGCCCUUUGUUUUUCCUUGUCCAAGUCCGAUGGAGAAGAAAACCAAAAUGCCUCUCAAGGAAAUACUAGAAAAAGGGUUUAUGGUCCAGACACGCUCUUCCGCGAUGUUCUAUCAUUUUAUCAGGAGAAAAUAUUGGGUAGUCCGGGAGCCACUGUGCGCCGGCCCAAUGAGGAUGCGACACAUGGCUUCACGUGAAGACGUGGCCCACCAUCAUUUUUAGUCAAAUUUUUGCCUCCUCUUUUCCCUUCUCAUUAAAUCCUUCGUCCUUUUUCUGGCCCCACCAUUAUUUUUCAGAGAAGGUUUCUCGGGCAGCGUGAAUCACAAGACUUUGGAGCCUCUCAAGGGCACUAGGCUUAGUGGUCAACAGGCUAUAUGUUAGGCUGAGAUAGGAGAGCAAUUCCCUCCACUGAGCGAUGAAAUGACAGUCGUAGUCAAAAGUUAGCGUAAAAAUCACUCUAGCUCUUUACGUGAGUUUAACGUAUGUCAUAUGAAAAAACCACCAAAUCCGCUGCUUUCUCUCUCGUCUUGUCGAGCUUCUCUCUCUACCCUCUCGGUAGUUUGCCCUAACUCAUUUUUUGCGUUUUCUUCCCCCACAAGUUUUCACUUCUUCUUCACUCUACUUCUCUGGUUUGCCUCCCCCUCUUCGGUUUCUUCCGCCCCUGGUCUCUCUGAUGGCUUCACAAACGAAUUCCUUCUCUCGAACUCAACUUCCUUCGCUUCGCCGUAGCUCUGGACUUCUUCAAGUUCCAGGUUGAAGUGCGGCUCUAUUCUGCGCUUUACUUUCCCCUGGGUUCCGGUUUUUUUCGCCCCCUCUUCCUUCUUCGGACCUCGCCUCAACCUUUGCUCUGCGCUGCGUCCCCACUUUUUUUCUUGUCCCUUCACCCCUGUUUCUCUUCGUGCUGGUUUUUUCCCUUUGUCGCCCCUUUCCCCUUUUUCCAUGGGAGGAAAUAUCCUAGAGGAGGAGUCACGAAUAGCUGCCCUCUGUAACAAAUUAGGCAGACUCUGUGCUGACCAUGAACUGGGAGCUUGGGAAGGUCCGCCACCGCUAGAACAAAUUGAAGAAUGCAAGCUUAUUUUAGUUGGUAAUCUCCUUUCAAACUCAUCUGUAAAUUUCCAGGCUCUUCAAUCCACGCGGAAACGCUCAUGGAGAGCAGAACAGGCAGAUUUUUCACAACGUGAUACAGGCCUAUAUGUUGUAAGGUUUAAUUCGGUAGAGGAGAAAAAUCGUAUCCUUGAUGGAGGUCCCCGGUCGUUCUCAGGUCAUCUUGUCAUCCUAAAACCUUGGCUUCCUAACACGCCGUUGCAUUGCUAUGAUUUCUCUAAAUGUGCCUUUUGGGUCCACAUUCUCGGUCUGCCUCUCGAAUGGUGUUCAGAAUAGAUGUUGUACAAAGUGAUUCGGCAUGUGGGACGAGUGAUUGAAACUAGAGUAGACACUAGGGAGGCUCCUAAUUUCAUAGCAGGAAGAGCUAGGGUCGAACUUACCCUCAGUCAACCUUUGAAAUCAGGUCACUUACUCCGUAUUAAUGGCAAGACUUUCUGGCUUGAUUUCAGGUACGAGCGCCUCCCUCAUUUCUGCUACUCUUGUGGUAGGUUAGGCCACUUUGCUGUGAGUUGUCCAGAAACUCCCCUCACUGCUGCAGAACUGGCAAGUAAGGAAUCAACAGCUUUUGGUCAAUGGCUGCGAUCAGAAGUUAGAGAACACAACCCUUAUUGGCAUACCUUUUAUGGCGAUCUUGUUAGCCCUACUGAGAUGGAUGAUGUUAUACCUGAAACACAUCCUUCCUUAGUAACCAAGACCCUUGCGCUCCCCACUUCUGAAGUGCCUCUCUCACCCUCUGGGCUUAAUGACCAGCAUGUUGGAGCCUCCUCUACUCAUCGAUAAAAAAACUGCCCCGUUUCCCUCGAGUGGUACAACCCCUGCAUCAUCAACUCAGUCAAGUGUUAUGCAAGACCUCCACAUGUCUGAGAAGGUGCAGCCACAACAAUCUGGACAAAUUGUUGUCAUAUCUCAGCCAGCACAAAGAAGGGAUCAUUAUAUGCAGGGGGCAAAGUUAAAAGGCACCUCAGAUCAGCAGGGUCAUCUUCAGGUUGAAGCUGCCUUGCUUAAAAUGAAGUCCCCUGUUUCAGCAGUACCUACUGCUCUCAAUGUUCCAGUAGCAGAUUCAUCAAAACCAGUCAAAUUAAAGAGUCUUCACAGGCUUACCAGAGGCAGCCCCUAGAAAAAAGCUAAGAGGUUCUCACCUUAUGAAUCGCUUGCUCAUGGAUUACCUGUUUUGGAUGACAACCAACUAAUGGACACCCCUAUCCUUGAAGCCGAAGGGGUUGACAAUUGGGCGAUGGUGGCUUGCCCUAAAAAGCCACCAAGGGAUAGAUGAAGUUUGUAAGUUGGAACUGUCAGGGGCUGGGCAACCCCUUGACAGUUCAAGCUCUUAAGGACCUCGUGGUCCAUGAUCGGCCCGACCUUUUGUUUUUGAUGGAAUCUAAAAACCAGGACUCCUUUUUAUCUAGAGUACAAAGGAGAUUGCAUUACCAGCAUAGCUUUUUGGUGUCCCCUGUCGGUCUAGCUGGUGGUUUGGCUGUCUUUUGGAAUGACCCUCUCUCUGUUAGUGUGGAGGACUCCUCAGUCCACUAUAUUGACCUGAUCUGCUCUGGUCCCCAUGAAGGAAGCCCAAUGUGUCUCACUUGCAUCCAUGCCCUUACAUCCUUCCCGUAGAGACAGCAGUUAUGGACAGUUCUCAAGCAUAUCAGCAGAGUUAUUACAAUGCCUUGGGUAUGCAUUGGAGACUUCAAUGAAAUACUAAACCACUAGGAAAAAGUAGGUAAACGUUUCACUCCUUCUUAUCGGUUGCGCUCUUUCAGGGACUUCUUAAAUGAUUGCUCACUCAUGGAAGUAGAAUCUAAAGGCUGUGCCUAUACAUGGGUGAACAAUAGGGACGGUGACGAAUUGAUUAAGGAAAAACUUGACAGGGUAUUAUGCAAUAUGGACUGGAGGUUAACAUACCCAGCAGCUGAAGUGUUCGCCCUACCUGCCAUUGGCUUUGACCAUAGUCCGCUGAUUUUAUCGCUUAUGUCUCCUGCUACAAAACGCAAACGGACUUUCACCUUUGAAGCCUUCUGGCUUCAUCAUUCUGAAUGUCGUCAGAUCAUUGCUGCUGCCUGGUCCUCUCUUUCUCGAGGACCUGUCUCCAUCUUCAGAAAACUCCAGGCUGCUACCACAGCGCUCCUACAAUGGAGUAAAGACAAGUUCAGCAAUGGCUAUCACCGGAUAAACUUACUAAAGCAGCAGCUUCAAGAUCAGUCUAACCAACCACCUUGCUACCAUGACAACCAGCAGAUUAAAAAUCUGAAAGCUGAAAUUCAACAAAUUUGGCAACAAGAGGAGCAAUACUGGGCUAUGCGUUCACGAGUUAAUUGGCUGCGAUGGGGAGACAAAAAUACCAGGUUUUUUUCAUGCGACUACAAUACAAAGACGCCAAAGAAAUCGCAUAAGUAUGCUGCAAGACACAAACAAUCUUUGGAUUCGUGAUCCUACUCAACUUAAGCACAUGACUAAGGACUUCUUUUGCAGUCUAUAUACUUCAGUUGGAGCUCGUGACUUCAAUCCUAUCCUAUCUCAGUGCAGCCCAGCAGUUACAGUGGAAAUGAAUCAGUAUUUAACAGCAGAGGUAACUAAAGAGGAAGUCAAGAUUGCUGCUUUUCAAUUAGGUGCCACAAAAGCCCCCGGUCCUGAUGGCUUUAAUGGUCUAUUCUAUCAUCGGCACUGGGAUAUAGUGGAAGAUGAUAUUUUUACCUCAGUGCAAGCUUUCUUCAUAUCUGGUAGGAUGCCACUAGCCCUGAAUAGAACCAUCAUCGUUAUGAUUCCUAAGGUUCAGCAAGUAGAGAGGUUAGACCAGUUUCGACCAAUCAGUCUGUGCAACUUUAUAUACAAAAUUAUAUCCAAAAUUCUAGCUAACCGGCUCAAAAAAUGGCUUUUUGGCCUUAUCUCACAUGAACAUAAUGCUUCGAGGGCAGACAAAUUCAAGACAGUAUAUUGAUUGUUCAAGAGGUUAUACAUCAGUUCAGAAUCAGGCAGAGAAAGAAGAAUUUCCAAGGAAUCCUGAAGUUGGACAUGAAAAAAGCAUAUGAUCGGGUCGAAUGGGAUUUUUUGGAGGCGUAUUUUCACAAGUUGGAUUCGAUUCUAGAUGGAUACAAUGGAUAAUGCAGUGUAUCACCACAGUAUCCAUUAGCAUUAAGUUAAAUGGUGAAACUCUUCCCUACUUUCAGCCUUCAAGGGGUCUACGCCAAGGUGACCCUCUUUCUCCUUAUCUCUUCAUAUUACUAGCUAACCUUCUAUCUAGGCUUAUCACACAAGCAGUAGAUAUGGGCAAUCUGAAAGGGAUAAGGCUUAAUAGGUGGUGUCCCACUUUGUCUCACCUUCUCUUUGCCGAUGAUGCAAUCUUUUUUCUAGAUGGUAAGCUUCUUGAAUGUCAAAACCUAUCGAAUAUUCUGCAGCAAUAUUGCCUAGCCACGGGCCAAGCUAUAAACAUGAACAAAUCUGGUCUUUUCCUUAGUAAAAAUUGCCCGAUGAGUUUGCAGGAGAAUCUGGCCACAGAAUUGAGAGUCCCCUUGCUAUAGAAAUCUAGGAAGUAUUUGGGGAUACCGUCUGAUUGGGGUGCCUCUAAAAAAGAUAUGUUUUCUUGGAUUAUGGCUCGAGUCAAUUCUAAAUUAGCAGGCUGGAAAGAGAACCUCUAAAGGUGGCAAAGAAAUUCUACUUAAAUCAGUGGUGCAAGCCCUCCCUCAGUAUGCUAUGUCCAUUUUUAAGCUCCCUGUCUCUAUUUGCAAAUCUAUUAAGCAGAGAAUAGCUAGCUUUUGGUGGCAGACUAGCAAAACCAAAUCAGUUAUCCACUGGAAAAGCUGGGAUUUGCUGAAAGAAUGUAAAGAUAGAGGUGGGAUGGGAUUCAGAGACUUAGUGGCUUUUAACAGGGCUCUUCUUGGCAAACAAGCGUGGCGUCUUUCCCAAAAUUCGUCUUCCCUAUGGAGUUCAAUUUUUAAGGGCUUAUAUUACCAUUCCAGUGACUUCUGGCAUGCUGACCAUGGCUCGCGACCCUCCUGGGGUUGGCAAAGCCUUCUGCUGGGAAGGGACUCCAUCAAAGAGAACAUGCAUUGGUCGGUAGGUAAUGGCCAAACUAUUAAAGUCAAACAGGAUAAGUGGCUGAGGAAAGGAGUUAUUGGUGGCCUAGCACCUAGAAAUGAACCUGAUAAAGUGGCUGGCUUUAUUUCUUCAAACCAGCUCACUUGGGACAUCCCUAAACUCAAGCAAAUCUUCGAUGACUAGACUGUUAAUGAAAUUUCAUCCAUUAAGCUACGAACGGAGCCUAUCCCAGACCAAAUUCUAUGGAAAGACACACAUACAGGUACAUAUUCAGUUAAAAGUGGCUACCAUCAUAUUCAUCAGUCAAGUCACUUUAUCAGAAAUACUCGACCCUCAUCAUCCUAUACCACACCGCGGCGCCUUUGGCAACAGAUUUGGAAAAUUCAGACGGCACCCAAAAUUCGAAUAUUCCUAUGGUCUAUCUGUCACAAUGCGCUUACAACUAAGGAAAAUCUUCAUAGGCGCCAUAUCAUAGAUGAUCCAACAUGCCCUGUUUGCUCGUCUCAAGUCCUAGAAAAUCUGGAACAUCUACUACUGCUCUGCCCUAGAUCACAAUAGGUUUGGUCCCAUCCUCACAUACAUAUUACAGUCUCAGCAUUUUGCACUCAUCGAAUGGAUGCAUGGUUGACUGAUCUAAUUGGGCAUAGAUCUCACUUACCUGGUUUAGAAGUCAUUGCUUCCCUUCUCUAGCAGCUUUGGAAGGCCCACAACCUAUUUAUCUUCCAGCGACAGUUCUCCAGCCCUCAACAGAUCGUUGAUUCGGCUCUCACUUCAGCUCGGCUGUAUCUCUCUUGCUCCAAGUCGAAUCCGGCUUCAUCAAUGGCCUCUCCGAAUCCUCUCAGUGGAUGGAUCCCCCUUGAACCUGGCUCCAUUAAAGUGAAUCUGGAUGGAGCCCUCCCUGAUGCCUCUGAAGUAGGGUUGAUUGCGUGCUUGUGUCGUGAUCAUAACGGCACCUUGCUCGACGGCUAUGCCCAGAACGUUCAGGCCUCCUCACCCCUUCAAACAGAAACCCUAGCCUUAUUAUCCACCCUCCAAUUUCUGUCGCGAUAGGGUUUUGGAAAUACUCACCUGGUCCUUGAAUCAGAUUGUCUGGAGUUGGUGGAAACCGUGAAUCACCGCAGGCGACCGUCAUAGGUUUGUCAAUCUUCGCUCGAGCACGCCGCAACCCUUCUUCGUGAGUGCCCUAAUUUUCUUCUGCAGCACUGUCGCCGUGAAGCUAAUUUGGCUGCCGACUGGAUCGCCAAGGCCCAAGGCCGAGGGUCUCAGCUUUUGAAUUGGGCUCUUGAUCCGCCCAUUUCUCUCUUCAAUUUUCUUUGUACCGAUGCCCUCUUUAAGGGUGUAACUUGGUUUGCUCUUAAAUGUCAUGCUUAUGUUUUGAUAAAAAAAAAAAAAAAACGUAUGUCAUAUGAAGUCAACUCAACGUGUCACUUAAAUAGGACAUGCAAAAAUUAUAGAAAGAUAUGAAGAAUCCAUAAAGUUUCUAUCUCAAAAGCUCUUCCACUGAGGAGCCAGAGUUAGGACCGGAGGCAACCACGACCACAGUUGGAGGUCAAGACACGGCAAAUAUGACCGGCAAGGCUCUUGGAAGCGAGAUAGAUCAUUCACAACGGCGGCCGUGGUGUCAUCGCAGCUCACUUCAAUGCCAAGGACGACCAAAUCAUCGCCGUUCGUGCUCACCGUUCCUCCACACGAAACCAAACAGCUAGAGUUAGGACCGCAAGGCGACCCCGACGAAGAGGCAGAGGUGGAAACGGUCAGAGCUCGAUUGAUAGUUACGACCGGCGGGGCUCAUAAGAGGGAGAGGGAGCGAGUGGCUCCUGGCGGCGACGGGGGAGACGACCAAGCUCGAAGUGACCGGUGAGCUUUUGUGAGGGAGAGAUUUUUGAAAAAGAAAGGGCGGGUGUCGCGGGGCUUUGAUAGAGAAAAAUAUGCAGAACAGAGGGAGACAAUUUUGAAAGAGAGAGAAGGGAAGGGUCACUUCUUUGUGUGAGCGGGAGGAGGAGUAUGCAGAGGAGGGACAAAGCAUUUAAUGAAGAGAGAGGGGGGAGGUGAAACCUUCUCUGGAAAAUAAUGGUUGGGCCGGAAAAAGGACGAAGGAUUUAAUGAGAAGGGAGAGGAGGAGGCAAAAAAUUGACUAAAAAUAAUGGUGGGCCACGUCUCCACGUGGAGCCACGUGUCGCAUCUUCAUUGGGCCGACGCACGGUGACAUGACGCUCUUGGACCACCCAAUAUUUUCUCAUUUUAUCAGCCCUUCGCCCUUGCUAGUGUAGCCACAGUGAGGAGAGUCAAAUGUGGGGCCCCUUCGGUGUCGGCCUUCUUUUUUUGUUUUAUCUCUCUCUUUUUUUUUUCCACUUUUCGACACCCCUUUUCACGGUGUUUUGAAAUGUGGGGACCACUUGGAGCCUCUCUUAUUUUUUUGUUUGGGGACCCUUCGACACUAUUUGUGACAUCCUGAAAUCCAAGUUCUGAUUUCGAUCGAAAUAGUUUGGCAUUUCAUCGACGCAUUUAUAGUUCUCUUCCCUGAACUGAUCACUCAUGGGAUAAUUAGUCUAUCAGGUGAAGCCGUUAAGGAAUUUUAACGCAUUAGACUUGAAAAUUCGACCAGAAAACAACUACUCAACCGUGCAAAUCUGCAAGAGAUCAUUACGACACAGUAAGAUCAUUAUAAAUCGGAGAUAGGUUGACUUGACAAAGGUAUGUGAUUAAGUGUGGGUGAUUCCACCUAAUUGCACAAUUCUUGUCGAUCAGCACUAGACCGAUUCUUCUGUCGUUUUGAUACCCCGUGUCUGUAUUUGAAACCUUGAGAUUUCUACGACAACCGAGAGUCGUCAAUAUAUCGAAGAUAUACUUUGUGGCUUGAGAAUAAUCAACCACAGGUCAAAUGCACGAAAAUUCCUGAAAGCUACCCGGUAGAUUAGGACGCACUAAAUUCGCACCGAAUUGAAAUUAACCGUGAAAUCGAACCCGAAUUCAUAAAUUGAGAGUUCAGAUGUGUCACAAAUUAUUUUAGGAAUGUUGACUCAUCUUCGGAAGAUUUUUCAUGCAAUUAGAGUUUUUCAGCAAAUUAAUCAAAGAAUUGCUAAUUUGGCUUGAGAAAUUAGUAGGCUUGCCUUUGGUCGUACUUUUGGGACUUAAGUUGGUUCUAUGGACUAGUAAAUACGUGAAUUGAAGUGUGGUGACAUUGGAUUCAAUUGGAAGAGAAUCGAAUGGAAUUGAAGAAGUUGUUGUACAAGAUUUUAUGCCUCGGCGGAAAAUGAAAUUGAACAUAUUGGAAGAGGUUAUGGAGGAUUGAGAUAGUGGAUUGUGACAUCACAAGUGAUGUCAUGGUGUGGGGACAAGAGUGGCUAGGAUGUUGACAAGUGGAGGGUGGAUAUUGGCCCUCAAAAAGUGAGGAGGUCCCAUCAUCUUCUUCUUCAAGCUUGGAAUUGGUAGAGGAGGGAGGAGACCGUGCGACCGAACCAGUAAGCUCGAUGCCGCCCCUUCACUCGCUCGGCUGCCUGCUUGCUCGUCGCCGGAGCCGCUCAUAGCCGCCGUCAGAGCAGCCGCGCCUCACCUCACGCACCUCCGCCUCUCUCUUUUCCCCUGCGUCGCUGCUGUCCCUCUUUCCUCCAUCUUCGGUUACUGCUCGACGAAACCCAGCAACCUAGGGAAGCUGAAGUAGCAACCAGCAACGCCACUCGUUGCCAUUGCCGCUCGCUGUCCCGUGCAUAGCCGCUGCUCCUCGCUCGCCCGCGCUUGCCCGACGCCUAGCCGUCUCCAUCUCCGUUUGCACAUUACAAGAGCUGCCGGAGCUUGUCCCUGCUGCCGUGAGCCGUCGUCGACCUCCCCAGCAGCUCGUCCAAGCCCCGCCAAUCUUCUCCACCAUUCCUCCGCCCAAACUAGCACCGGAGCAGCCCUCCUUUGGCCUCAACCAGCAGCCAAGAAAAUGGGUAUGGAAGCUCGAUUUUGGCCCGUUUUGGCCGACUUCCCGACCCCGGAAGCUAGGCCCGCUUUGGAGUGAAUCGAUCCCCUCGGCGUCCCCGUCGAUUUGAGCCGCUCGGUUCGUUAAUCGGGUGAGUUUAACUCACUAAUUCCCGCUUAAUAGGUUAAUCACGUUUAAGGGGUGCUUAGAUUAAACUAAGUAGGUUUAGGUGAUUAGAUUAAUUUAUUUAAAUGUUAAGUGGAUUAAUGGAUGUGAUUAGUUUAGUGAAUAAUUAAUUAAGGCUAAGUAAAUAUUUGGAUUAAAGUAAUCUUGUUUAAGCCUUAAUUAAUUAUUUUAAAUUAAGUAAGUACUUCGAAUUUAUACUAUUAUUUAUUAUAUUGUAUUAUUAUAAUAUAAUAUUAUUUUAUUUAAUUUUCGGAAUAAAUUUAAUUAUUUAUUAUUUUCCGGAAAUUUUGAUCGGGAUAGCCGGUGACCGGAAUUUUAUGCUGAUGAUCGUGGUGAAGUCCGUUUAUUUAAUUGAGAUCCAAUUUGAGCUAAAUUUAAUUUAUUUUAAUUAAUUAUUAAUUUUCGAAAUUAAUUAACUAAUUAAUUAAAUUUCGGAAAUUAAGGUUGAGACGACCGACAACUGAAAUUCCGUGCUGAUUGUCGUGGUGCAGUCCGUUAAUUUAUUUGAGCGUUAAUUUGUGCUGAAUUGAAUUAAUUGUGAAUUUAAGAUUUAUUCAUAAAUUAUCUGAUUUUGGUUAUUAAUGGAAAAAUAACCGAGUGUCGGUUUACAGCGCAAAAAAUAUGUAAUGGGCUGUUGAAAUUGGUGGGAUAUUUGUAAAUGAAAUUAUUAUAUUUUGACUAAGGCCAAUUGUAUACCCACAUACGACUAUUUAUCGAGAAUGAUAAAGGAUGGAAUUGAUUGUAUGAGAGAGUGGUAUACUAUAUCGGUCGACGGGCAAUAUGUCAGCUUUGGGUGAGCAGUAUACUUUAUUAUCAAUUUUGGGUGAGCAUAUAUAGUAUACUGGAAUUGGCCUGUGGGCCAUAAUCUAUCAGUUUUUGGUAAACUAUGCUAUCUAUUUUCAGCUUUAGGUGAGCAGUCCUAGACUAUGGUCGGACUUUAUAGAUAGUAUUGAAUGUACCAACCAGGAAAAUGUCAUGGUGACAUGUAAUCGAUUAAGUCGAUUGAUCGUUGAGUCGAUAUGAUUGGUGGAAUGUGAUUGAUUGCUGUAGUUAUCAAUAUUAUUGAUUGAACUGAUGUGCAGGAAGGAACUGAUGCCAAGGUAAGCCCUUUGACCUAUGGUGCUUAGGCAGCCCUUAUGGCGUAUUGGCUUCCUAAUCAGGUCUUAGUGGGGUAGAACUUGCUGAGACAUAGUCUCAUCCCGGUUUGGGGAAAAUAUUUCAGGUUCCUAGAUGACGAUCAUGGAGGAUCGGAAGUCUUGGAGUUCAGAAGGUGGAGGCUGAAGAACCGGCAAAUGGGUCUGACUAGUGGAUAUUUAAGACAGUCCCCUUUUUGUUAAGCCAACAAUUUUGCAGACAGCCUAAGUUUGUACUUAACCAGUUUGUCUAUAAAGACUUGUCUUGGUUUGAAAAAUAUGAUCCUACUUUUCUAUCCCAUUAUUUGAUUGUCUGGGGAUUUUAUUAAGCUUCCGCAUGCGUAUAUAAAUGAAUGGGUCGGCGACCUUCCUGGGACGUUGCAAAUAAAUUGACCGUUUAAGGGAUGGGCGCGUGCUCGAGGAUUGGGUCGUGACACUGUUCUCACCGUCAACGAUCCAAGUUAAUGUACUUAUGAGAAAUUUUCAUUAAAUUUAAUCAUUAAAUAACUAAAUUAAAUAACAUGUAAUAAUUAAUGAAUAUAUCGAUUUGACAUUUUACCAUCCGUUUAUUAUAGGUAUAUCAAUUUGUGACUUUUACAAUAUUAUUCCAAUUUAAUCGAGAUAAACGGAGGAUAAAUUUGUUAUAAAUAUAUUAGUUUUGACCUUAAAAUUUUAGAUUAAAUUUAUUAUAACUAUACUAAUUUUAAUUUUUUAUGAUAAAAAAUUAAUAAAAAAUUAAUUUAUCUAAUUUAUGAUUUUUCGUGAUGUUAACUCUUAUCAUUCUAUUUUAUCCCUUGCUUUUUCCAUUGUCCACGUCCUUUCAUUCCCUCGACCUUGUGCAUUUCUUCUUCUUCCUCUUCAUCUCCGUCUCACUUCUUCUCCAUGUGCUCUCGCUCUCUCUCUACGUUGUUCCUCAGCUAAUGUGGUUAAAGCUCUCAUUGAAUUCAUUCUUUUUUUCGACCGAAAAAGAAUUCGUUCUUUGCAAAACCGUAAUCUUCUUCUUGACUGCCAACUGUGGGAGUUGGGAUUUUACCGAACUGCCAAGAAAUGGUGAAUGUCGCCGUACAUAUUUCUUCGCCUUUUCCCUCCUUGGUUGAGCUUGCCUGAUUUCUCCACCCUGCGUGGGUCUCCUCUGGUCAAAUCAGAAACGCUGGGAAAAUAGUUUAAAUGGUGCUAGGGAGUAGGUCCUGUGAAAAUUAUGUUUAUCAAGAGACGUGUCGAGCAUCCGAAGGAUGGAUACCAUGUUGGAAAUUUCCUAUAAUAUGGGCUUACAUUAAUUAAUUGAUUUUCUAUUUUAAAUAAUCGGGUUAAUGGAUAUUCCAAUAUUUGUUGAACCUUAAAGUGAUCUGAUUGAAUUUGGUAUUAGCAUCUAUUGAUAACGGGUCUAGUUGAACAGCAAAGUGUAGGCAAUUGUGUUUGACUGAAGUCCGUAAUGGGAAGAGCCCAGUUGACACGCUAUUGAUUAGGGUUUGCUAGGUCCCCUCUCUAGCCUAUAAAAGGGUAGGUUAUACCUAUCAGUUGCUUUAAUCCCAUUGAAAGCUGCUAUAUCGAAAUAGGUCAUAGAGAGGAAGAUCUGGUGUUCCGAUAGAUCCCUGAUUAUCAGAGUGAUCUAGUUUUUUUCUGAAGCGAUGGCUCAAACAGGUACGCUUUAAUUCUGCUGUAUUUAUUGAUCUCGGUGUUUUACAAUCAUGUAUGGAUCCGUUUGUUCUUAAUUGAUUAAUUGUUUAUGAGAAUAAAUUUUCUACAUGUGGUAUCAAAGCCGAUCGUAUAUGAUUGUAGAACCCAAUUUUUUUUUUGGACAAAUUCGAAAUCCUCCUCUUUGAGCCGAAUAUGGGCAUUAUUUUUUCGUGUAGAUUUUUUUGCUUGAUUAAUCCUGUAAUCAUAGGGCUUUUGUUCUACAUGUUGAGAUCUUUCCAACCAUAUAUAAUUUGCAUAAUUUCGUUGAGAAUUGAGAGAGAAUUUUGAAUUUGAAAUUCUAGGGUUUAUGCAUGAAAAAAAGUUCUAGAAUUUUUGAAUUACUUGCAAUUGAUUGAUGUUCGAAGCAUAUAGCUGUAUGGGUAUUGUUAUAUAUUUGUUUUAGUAUCCUUUUGUUGUAUUAAAUUGAAUUUUUAGGGCUUAAAUUCAAGAAAACCGAAUUUUCGGCCAUGGGAGGCUUGUUCCGAAACUCUGAAGCUUACUUGUGAUAGAUUAACUUGGUUUUUUGUCGUUUGAUUGAUUAUAGUUAAUUAUAUUGAUGUUAGAAGCAAGAUCCAUGAAAAAAAUUUCAUAAAAAAUCAAAUAUAAUGUGUGGUUUUGGAGUUUCGGGUCGAAACCGGGUCGCACGACCCGGUUUCUUAGCAAAUUCAUGACUCGGCUGGAGGUUAAAGAAGACCUCCAGCCGAGCCGGGCCAAUGGAUGGGCGUAAGCCCAUCCUUGUUUCAAUCUUUCAGGUUCUGGGUUGGCUGGGCGUGAGCCCAAACUUGUUGGACGAGCAGGCCUGUCACACAGAAAGCCUAGUAGAAGGCCUGUCGCCCAGAAAGCCCGAAAGCAGAAUUUCUUUUAAAGUCUUUUUAUUUUGUCUCGCGGGCCAUUAGCCCAGAAACCAUUUGUAGAGCCCACGCAAGAAGAAAAAUUUUGGGCCCCCGCAUGAGCAAAGAUGGACUCGCGGGUCUGGCCCACGGUCUGAUUAGGGCUGCUCGCGGGUCCUGGGCCCGCGAGAGUCCAAAAUACUAAAUUAAUAUAAUAAUAAUAAUAAAAUAAUAAAAAAUUAAAAAAUUAAAUUAAAAAAAAUUGUGGCAAAAAUUGUUGUUUGAAAGAAUGCAAUAUGAUCUUUGGAAACACAUGUUGUGAAGUGUUUCAUAUUGUUUAAUGAAUUUUGGGCAUGAAUUUUAGAGCUCCCUAUUGAUAAAAGAUUAAUAUAUGCAAUUACUCGCCCAAAGGGAGUUAUUGUGUAUAUUAAUUUGGAAAAUAGCAUGAAAUUUAUUCCCAUAUUUAAAAGAUGGGGAUGUAUAAUUGAAAAAUAUUUAUCUGCCCAAAGGGGAUAAAUGUUUUGAAAAUUAUAUGUAAUUCCCCUCUAUGUAGAUAUUAUGGAGAUGUAUGAUUUAAAGGAUUUGUCUGCCUAAAGGGGAUGGAUUCUUGACAAUUAUAUGUAAUUCUCUUUAUUGUUGCUUUAUAAAUUUCAUGCUGGGAAAAAUAAUGGUGCAUUAUACACUCUGCCCAAAGGGGAGUUUAUGAUGUACUAAUUAUUUUUUGUUGAGUUGCUUAUUGCCCAUAAUUGAUCUUAUUGCAUUAUGUGUGUUAAACAGUUACCUUUGCUGUAAAUAACAACAAUGCCACGGUGGAAAUGUUAACUGGAUCAAACUUUAAAAGAUGGAAGCAAGAUAUAGAGUUUGCUUUGGGCAUCGUCGAUAUGGACUUAGCUCUACGUGAGGAUGAGCCUACCAGGCCCAAUGAUCAAAGUACUGCAAAUCAAAAGGCCCAUUAUGCUAGAUGGGAAAAAUCUAAUCGACUGAGCCUCAUUGCUAUGAAGAGGUCCAUUGUUGAGCAUCUAAUUAGUGGUUUGCCGGAAGAUACGAAUGCCAGACAAUUCCUUGAAGCAGUGGGAGAAAGAUAUAGAGUCUCAGAUAAGGCUGAAGCUGGGAACUUGUUGAGUGAGUUAACGAACAUGAGGUAUGAUGCUACUAUGGGUGUUAGAGAAUUUAUACUGAAGAUGGUCCACAUUCAGUCCAAACUUAAGACCCAUGAAAUUGUUCUUUCUGAAAAUUAUAUUGUGCAUCAAGCCUUAAAUGUUUUGCUAGCUGAAUUUAGCUAGAUUAAGACUGCUUAUAAUGCUCGAAUGAGACAUGGAGUGUUAAUGCCUUGAUUACUAAGUGUGUGACUGAGGAAGAGAAAUUAAAGAAGGAAAAGUAUGAGUGUCUGCCCACUUAACUACCGAUGCCAAGUUGAGUUCGUAUAGAGGCAAAUGGAAGCCUAAGGGGUCAAAUGCUCAUGGCCCAAAGAAAUGGCAAGACUUUAGGAAAAAUGAGAACUAUGGGAGGAAUGGAGAUAAGGAUUUUAAAUGUUUUCACUGCAAGAAGCAGGGUCACAAGAGAGCCAAUUGCUACAAUUUUCGAGCUUGGCUAAAAACAAGAAAAGAAAGUCACCAAGGUGAGUUGUUGGUUUGUUUUGAAUCAAAUUUGGUUGAUGUUCCUUUGGAUUCUUGGUGGCUUGAUUCUGGUGCUACUGUUCAUGUGAUUACUACCUUACAGGGUCUCACAAAUUUAAGGAGUCCAAGUUUGAGGGAGUCAAAGCUUAAAGUUGGAAACAAUACUGGAGUUGAUGUGGAGCGCAUAGGGACAGUUGUUUUGAAUUUAGAUUCUGGUUUUCAGCUUGUCUUGAACAAUGUCUUUUAUGUUCCUAAUUUUAGGAGAAACUUAGUAUCUCUUUCUUCGCUUGACAAAGCUGGAUAUUGUCUUCAUUUUGCGAAUAAAAGAGUGGAUUUGAGUUAUGAUUCCAGAAUUAUUGGGAAUUGUGUUUUGUCUGAUGGAUUAUAUCGAUUAUCCUUAUCUCCCGAUAGACCAUAUUGGUCUUUCAAUGUCGAGAAUGUUGUUGCUAAGAGAUCUUUAAUCAAAGAUAGAUCUUCAAUGCUAUGGCAUAAGCGAUUGGGGCAUAUCUCCAAAGAACAGGUAAAGCGACUUGUCGUGGCUGAUAUUCUCCCUCCUCUUGACUUAGAUGAUAUUGAGACUUGUAUUGAUUGUGUGAGGGGAAAAUGAACUAAAACAAAGAAGAAAGGCGCUACUCGAAGUCAAAGUCUAUUGGAGAUAAUUCAUACUGAUAUUAGUGGGCCAUACUCAACCACCUUGUGUGGAAAUAAAUACUUCAUCACGUUCAUUGAUGAUUUCUCCCGUUAUUGUUAUCUUUAUCUAAUUAAGGAGAAGAAUGAUGGUCUUGACAUGUUUAAAGUGUUUCGUACUGAAGUUGAGCAACAAUUGGGAAAAAUUAUCAAGAUUGUCAGAUUUGAUCGCGGUGGUGAGUAUUAUGGGUGAUAUACUGAGGCUGGACAACAAAAUGGACCGUUUGCAAAAUAUUUGCAGGACUAUGGUAUUGUUGCUCAAUAUACAAUGCCUGGGAGUCCUGAGAAAAAUGGUGUAGCUGAACGGCGAAAUCGUACACUCAUGGAGAUGAAACGAAGUAUGAUGGGCAGUUCUAAUUUGCCUGAAUACUUAUGAGGUGAUGCGAUUAAAAUAGCAACUUAUAUAUUGAAUCGUGUACCUAGUAAAUCGGUGCCGAAAACACCUUUUGAAUUGUGGACUGGGAGGAAACCUAGCUUGAAUGAUUUUUGAGUUUAGGGUUGUCCUGCAGAGGUGAAAAUUUAUGAACCUUCUCAGAAGAAGACCAAAUCCAGGACUACUAGAUGUUAUUUUAUUGGAUAUCCUAAUCAUUCUUAAGGGUAUAGGUUCUAUUGUCCUUCUCGCGGCACUAGAAUCGUUGAAUCUCAAACUGCCAAAUUCCUGGAAUUAGAUGUUGCUGAAAAGACUUCUUCUCAAUCUUUCGAAAUGGAAGAACCAAAUAAAACGGUCUCUAUUCCAUUGCCCAUCUUACAUGAUGAUUCUAUGCGAGAUCCUAACAGUGUGGAAAUUCAACAAGAAGUAAAUACUGAAAAUAUGGCGAUAGAUCAUCCCAUUACAAAUGAAAUUCCCCAGAUGAAUGAUGCGGCUCUAGAAAUGCCUGUGCAAAGAUCACAGUGACAAAGAAGACCAACACUUUUAAAUGAUUAUCAUGUCUAUCUUGGAGAAGCUAAUUUUGACAUUGGAAGAGUAGUUGAUCUGACGACCUUCAAAGAAGCUCUUAAUAGUGAUCAGGCAGAUAAAUGGUUAUGAGCGAUGAAUGACGAGAUGAUGUCCAUGUCAACUAAUCAAGUGUGGAAACUAGUUGAUUUACCUGAUGGGCAUAAACCAAUCAGCUGCAAAUGGGUAUUCAAAACUAAGAAAGACAAUAAAGGCAACAUAGAGAGAUUCAAGGCAAGGUUAGUCGCAAAAGGGUACACACAAAGAGAAGGUAUUGAUUAUAAUGAAGUCUUUUCCUCAGUAUCUACUAAAGACUCUUUUCGGAUAAUCAUGGCUUUGGUGGCUCAUUUUGAUUUAGAGCUUCACCAAAUGGAUGUCAAGACAGCUUUUCUAAAUGGAGAUCUGGAUGAAGAAGUAUAUAUGCAGCAACCUGAAGGGUUUAAAGAAGCCGGAAAGGAGCAUAUGGUGUGCAAACUUCAAAGGUCCAUAUAUGGUCUCAGACAAGCAUCACGUCAGUGGUACUUAAAAUUUCACAAAGUUGUGAGAUCAUUUGGUUUUGAAGAAAAUAAGUUUGAUCAAUGCAUCUACAUAAAAGUAAGUGUGAGUAAAUAUAUUUUCUUAGUACUUUAUGUAGAUGACAUUUACUUGCUAGCAGUGAUGUUGAUCUAUUGAAUGACACCAAAAAUUUUCUAUCUACAAAGUUUGAUAUGAAAGAUUUUGGGGAAGCCUCUUUUGUUCUAGGCAUUGAGAUUCAUCGUGACAGAUCUAAGAAGGUUCUGGGGUUAUCUCAGAAAAGUUAUAUAGAUCGUGUUUUGAAAAGAUUCAAUAUGCAGACUUGUAAGUCAGGUGAAGCUCCUGUUGUGAAAAGAGAUAAAUUGAGUAUAGAUCAAUGCCCCAAGAAUGAUGUUGAAAAGAAAGUCAUGAAAAUGUUCCAUAUUCUAGUGCAGUUGGCAGUCUUAUGUAUGCACAAGUAUGUACCAAACCUGAUAUUGCUUUUGCUGUGAAUAUUCUUGGAAGAUAUCUGUCGAAUCCAGGUGAAGAACAUUGGGUUGCAGCUAAGAAGGUGAUGAGAUAUCUACAACGAACAAAGGAUUUCAUGCUCGUUUAUAGCAAAGUUGAGGACCUAAAAGUGAUUGGAUAUUCAGAUGCUGAUUUUGCUAGUUGUUCAGAUGAUAGAAAAUCAACUUCUUGAUAUAUUUUUAUGAUGGCUAGAGGUGCUAUUUCUUGGAAGAGCACAAAGCAAACCUUGAUUACGAACUCUACAAUGUAUGAUGAGUUUGUAGCGUGCUACGGCGCGUCGGUUCAAGUAGUUUGGCUCAGAAAUUUGAUCUCAGAAUUGCGUGUUGUGGAUUCUAUUGCUAGACCUAUGGUGAUCUACUGUGACAAUACCGCAGCUGUGUUUUAUUCCAAGCAUGACAAGAUUAGUAAUGUGUCCAAACACAUGGAGAUCAAAUAUUAUACUGUUAAGGACUUGGUCAAAAAUGGAGACGUUGUAAUUGAAAAUAUCAGAACUGAGUCCAUGUUGGCUGAUCCUCUAACAAAAGGCUUACGACCCAUUUUGUUUAAAGAACAUGUAAAGAAUAUGGGUGUUUUAGAAUCUUUUGAUUUCUUUUGUUAGUGGGAGUUAUAUAGUUUGUAUUUCUGGAUAUUAUAGUUAUAUGCAGACUGAUAAUGUUUUUAUGAUGUCUAUUAAAGCAUUUAUUUUCAAUGAUUGUUGUUAUUGAUUCUAUUGUUAUUUUUUCUCCUGUUGACUGAGAAAUGGAAGUAUAAACCAGUAUCUUUAAACAAAUUUUAGUUUAAAGAUGACUGGAUGUCACUGAUUAUGAGAUCUCAUGUUGAAUUGUGACAUAAUUGUGCAAUUUCAUGUUGUUUAGAAAUCGCACUGAGGCAAUUUCAUGUUGUUUAGAAAUUGCGCUAAUGCAGUUUCAUGUCGUUGAGAAAUUGCAUUGAGGACCGAUAAGUAAUAGUGUAUAUCUUGAUCACAUGUUGGCACUAUUUCUUACUACACUACUAGGCCCAUGAUCCAUGAAAAUAUAAUACUUAUUAUAUGUGAUUAUGGAAGGUCUUGUGUUGUGGUAUUUUCUUAACACAUUGAUCUUCAUAGUCCUAUAUUGAGGUUAUAUAGGAUUGGAUUGGUAUUGAGAUGCCAUUAUUGGAAUAUUAUUUUUUAAAAAGUUGUGGCCACAUAAAACAAAAUUUCAGUUAUUAACCCGAUAGUGUCUUUUUCAAAUAUAAAAUCCUUUUCAAGAUAAAAUAAGUUAAUUAAUAUAGCCCAAGUGGGAGAAUGUUGGAAAUUUCCUAUAAUAUGGGCUUACAUUAAUUAAUUGAUUUUCUAUUUUAAAUAAUCGAGUUAAUGGAUAUUCUAAUAUUUGUUGAACCCUAAAGUGAUCUGAUUGAAUUGGAUAUUGACAUCUAUUGAUAACGGGCCUAGUUGAGCAGCAAAGUGUAGGCAAUUGUGUUUGACUGAAGCUCGUAAUGGGAAGGGCCUAGUUGACACGCUAUUGAUUAGGGUUUGCUAGGUCCCCUCUCUAACCUAUAAAAUGGUAGGUUAUACAUAUCAGUUGCUUUAAUCCCAUUGAAAGCUGCUAUAUCGAAAUAGGUCAUAGAGAGGAAGAUCUGGUGUUCCGAUAGAUCCCUGAUUAUCAGAGUGAUCUAGUUUUCUUCUGAAGCGAUGGCUCAAACAGGUACGCUUUAAUUCUGCUAUAUUUAUUGAUCUCGGUGUUUUACAAUCAUGUAUGGAUCAGUUUGUUCUUAAUUGAUUAAUUGUUAAUGAGAAUAAAUUUUCUACAUACCACUCAUGCACCAUUCUUAUAUCAAAUGCCAUUGCGCUGCAUGUGUGCAAUCAUUACAUAAAUGUCUUUUAACAUUCUAUGAUGUCUAUGAAUCAGUAGACCCAUUCAACUAUUCGUAAGAUUGGCGUACUUGGUCGAUGGCGUGCUCGCCCCUCUAGUGAUGGGAGUCGUAACAUGAAGGAAGAGAUGUAGCCUUUCCAAUUUAUUUUUUUAGGACGAAGAAUCCUCUAAAGCGAGGGGGGAAAUUUCACUGAUCAAUCCAUCCCACCUUUGGACAGCUAAUAGCUCCAGUCAAUGAUAAGAUAGAACAGCAUCGUGGAAGGUCAGGUCGGAAAGUGAAAGGAAAAAAGAAGAAACAAACUAGAAAAGAGGGACAUUAAAGACGCGCAUGACAAAAUUUAUAGAACAAAAAUCAAUUUCUAGUCGGAAAUUGAUUUCUCAAUUUAUAUUUCAUGGACGAGUUUCUAAGCAAAGAAACGCGUUUAAUAGCGAUUCAAAAUUUCUAUUUUUGGAAUAAAAAUUCGUUUGGUAAAAUAAUGAAAUUUCUAUUUCUAGGAGCGGCGAUGACCGGCAUUCGGUGGCCGGAGUCCGACAUCCAGCGAGUGGCGAGAGUCCAAAGUCUAACGUCCGACAUAUGGAGUCUAGCAUCCGGCGUUUGGCUCUGGCGUCCGACAUCUGGAGUCUGGCGUCCGAUAUUUGGAGUCUAACGGCCGGUGGCCGGUGGCCAAUAGUUAGUGGCCAUUGGUUGAAGUCCAGCGGGCAACCGACAUCCAACGAUUGGUGGCAAGCAACGAGCGAUCAGCAGCAAAUGUUUAGUGGUUGACGGUGGGCCUCCGGCAUCUAGCGAUUGGCCAUUGGCGAUGAGCAGCCAACGAUCGACGGGCAUCCGGCAUCUGACGGCCGAUGGUCGACGACGGGCGGCCGGAGUUCAGUGGCCCGCAGUUGGUGGUGGGCAGCCGAUGGCAAGUGAUCGGCAAGUGGAGGGCAUCCAGCGUCCCAUGGGCGGCUAGUGGGCGAUGGGCGAUGACAAGAGUGAAUGAUGAGAAAAAUUUUGAUUUCUUAUUUCUGUUCCAAAAAUAGAAAAGUUAAAAAUUUUAACUUCUGAUUUCUAUUCCAAAUAUAUUUCUGGAAUAAAAAUCCAUUUCAAAAAUAGAAACAUUAAAUUGCAUUACUGUCGCGACUAAAAUUUUGAGUGAAUCACCUAGGAUUUAACUAAUGGAUUACUAAGCCUAAACUGGGUUUGACUAAUGGAUUACUAAGCCUAAAUUUAGCUUAGGCUCUCCUAGGCCCAUUUCAAUUUGUGAUUUAAAUUCAAGUUCUUAACAUGCAAAUGAUUUUUUAAUCAUGAGUCGCCACUGAUUUAUUUUUCGGUGGGUCAAUUAGAAACCCAAAUAAAGUAAUAGGAGAUUUACUUUACUCCUACGAAUCAGAGAUUAUGAGUUCAGGGACUUGAUUACGUUAGAUUUCUCUGACGCCUUUUCAAUACCUUUUCCUUUUAUUUUGAAAAAAAAAAGGGUUUUGCAAGCAGUUUAAAUUGAUUUUAAUUUAUCUCCCUAACAUGUGAGAGGUGUGUAAACCACCAAUUUAAUACCUAGAUAAAGUAGUGAAUAAAUUGCAGAACUUACCUCAUGGCAUCGAAAGCAUCUGCAAUAUUAGAUCAGAAAUUUUAUUUAACACGUAAUCACUUAAUUUUGUUUUCAAUCAUGCUUUAUGCAAUGCAAUCUAACCACAUGACCUAAUUCUAAUGAUGGGCAAUUUCUAGCUAAAUGGACCUAGCAACAAUCACUAAAUGACAUGCAUUUCAUGAACUUUAUUCUAUAUGACGUCAACAUGAUAUUUUUAUUCUCCUACAAAGCAUGCAAUCUAUCCUAGAGAAUGAAAUGAAUUUACUCUAAGACAAUUUUUUGGUAUUUUUCAUGAAAUUCGAAAUUAAGAAAAGUGCGAAAAUUAUCUGCCUAGAUUAAGAUAUCAUCCAAUUUGUAUUAGGAAUUAGGUUAAGCCAAAUCCUAAUUUAAACUAGAACAUUAUCUUAACCAAGUAAUCCUAAAAUGCAAUCUAUCUAGGAGAAAUUAUCUAAAUCUAUAAUUAAUUUAAAAAAAACACGCAAUCUUAUCCUAACAUGCAAUGACGUGCAAAGAAUGCCCUAAUUCUAGUUUUUUACUUUUUCUUUUCUAUGAAAUUUGAAAUUAAAAUUGCCACAUAAUUAAAUGUGCAACUUAAUUUUUUUUUUUUUUAAAAAAAAAAACUAACAUCCUAAAUGAAUGCAUUUUUUGGAUUUUUUAUUUUUUAAAAAAUUCGAAAUAAUAAAUCUCCUAUUCUAGAUAUGCAAAAUAACCCUAAAACAAGAAAUAAACCUAAUCUAACUCACAUUUUUUGGAUUUUCUUUUAUGAAAACAAAAUUGAUUCAAACCACACGAUGAUAAUUCAGAGCAAGAUAAGAUUGAUAUCCAAAAGUUGAUGUAUCAUAUCUCGCGCAUGGGAUUGGAUUGGUCAAUUUUAAAUAAAUCGUGAAUCGAAUCUCGAGCGUGAGAUCAGAUUGGCAAUUUUCCAGGCAAUUGCGAGUCGGAUUUCGGGCGCGAAAAUCAGAUCGUCAAUCCCUAAUUUAAAAUGGUACUUCAUGUCGGGAAUUUCAAGCUUACUUUGGGGAAUAUUUCAAAUGAAGAAACAAAAUAAAUAAUCAUAAUAAUAAAUAAAAAUAAGAAAUCUAUCUAAUUGGGAUUUUGAGCUCCUAAACUAGGGUUAGCGUAUGACGGCUAGAUGGGUCGCUGCAGUCGUGAUGGUGGGUCGCUGGAGCUCCGGCAAGGGGGCGGAGGAGGGCACAUCAGCAAUGGUGCCGUCUCCUCACCGUUCCUCUCUCACUUUUCUUUUCUGACCUGCUCUCUCUCCCCUUGCCGCACGUACCCUCUCUCACCUUUAUUUACUUUUUGACUUUUGUGUUGCUCUUUCGAAGAGAAGCCCCCAACGAAGGAACAAAAGAAAAUUUUCUCUCUUUUAUAUGUUGAAUUUCUGACAUAAAAAAACGAGAGAAAAGCCCCUCAAAACCCUACAUGAACAACCUUUUUAUAGGCCAAGGAUUAGGGUUUUAAUUUUUCAAAUCAAUAUCCACGAAAAUUUCUUUUCUGAACGCAAUAAUUACUCUUGAUAUGAUUCAGGAUUGCAAAAUGAUUUUUUCUCAAAUUUCAAACCCCGCAAAGAUGAGCUCGCAAUAUUUUUUGUCACACUUACCCUAUCUAAAGAUCUUGAAAAAUUUCCCAACAUAUCCCGGAAAAAUUUUAAAUCUCUAUUUUUUCACGAGAUAAUUUUCGAUAAUUAAAAAAAAGGGCUUUGGCUAAUUUGUUCCCUUCGUGGGCUUAGUUCAGCUUGUCAAUUUAAAGUUCAGAACCACCAAGUCGAUCCCAUCCGUCACCGGCCCAAUAUAAAUGUAAAUUAAAAAUAGAUGCACAUAAAAUUAUAUACUAUGCAAUUAAUUUUUUUUUUUGUAGGGGUUAAAAUUAAUCCUUGAUUUUUUUUUAAUGCAAUAAAUGACAAAACGGGUCCCCAAAAUUUAAGUAUCAAUAGUUACCAAACGGAUUUCUAUUUCAAACAUGUUCCAUGAAAUAGAAAAACAGAUAAAUCAAAAAAUAGAAAUUUUAUUAUAUGCACCCCAAAAGGUCAUUUGGAGGUGGCCAACUAGCAUUAGGGUAGAUAUUUCUAAAGCCCUUACAACGCCUCUUCUAGGGUCCAUGAAACGAAAAUUGUUAUCGGGAAAAUUAUUUUCUGGUUUUUGGAAAUUUUGAUGAUGGAAAAUUAAUUAGUUUAUGAAAAAUAUUUUCUAUGAAUUUAAAAAUAACGAGGUUAAAUUGAUGGAAGACGAUUUCCUCUUCUGUCAAGAUGAAAAUCAUUAUUUAAGACAACCAAAAAAACUUAAUUUUUCGUAAAAAAAAUGAUUUUCAUAAAAAAAAAUAUUUACUAAAACAAACGGAGCACUGACGUGGAGACAAAAAUACUUCGUCCAACAAGUCAAUACUCAGGAUUAUCUUCCCUUUUAUUUAAUUUCUUCUCCUUGUAGACUUCUUUUAACUCCACGAAAACUCCUGGUUACCUUCGCACACUCUUCCUCGCUCUAAACCCUUGAAUUUCUCUCAUUGUCAUUGCUUCGCUGACGCGCCUCCAUUGCCCUAACCCCAACCCCUCGGUCAUUCUUAGCGGCCCGACCUUCUCAAAGCCUAAACGGGGUAAAGUCAGGGUUUUCUAUUUGAUGGAAUUGCCACCAAUCAAUAUAUAAAAAUAAAAAGGAAAAUAACUAGGCUGAUCGGAUAUGUAGAUGUACGUGUGAAAGCGUUGGUCAUUUGCAACUUGCGGUCCGCGGGUUUGAUUACAUGUAGGAAAGGUCGGUAUCCCUCUCACACCCUUUUGGUACCACAAUUUUCAAUUAAGUCCUUUGCAUGAAUAUAUCAUUAAUUUCCUAAAUUUACUGAAGCAAUUUUGAUUUUUAUCGUAGAUGUAAUCGGGAAAAUUCCUUUAUUAUUUUACGCCCUAGUAUGACUUCGUAUGCCAUAUGUGUUUGCUUUAUGAAAAUAUGCAUGAAUCUUAAUCUGUAAGGUGUAUAUGGAUGUGCAAUUGGCUAAUGACGUGUAAUUAGAUCGAUUCGUGACUUUGUAGUUCAAACAAAAGUAAAUAAAAUAAAAGAGACGAAACUACUAAAAAGAUUACUAGUAACAAAAAAUCGAUUGUGAAUUCUGCCGAGACAAGAGUGUCUGUUUCAACUACCGAAAUGUCAAGAGAAGCCCAAUUAGCACGAAUAUUCAGUCUCUUAUACAUUAUCUACCAGAUGUUUCUCAUUCUUUGCUAUAAGAAUUGGAAUUUUUAUGCGGAUGAAUAAGGGAGUUUUGCUAAUGUAGCCUCCCCCCUUACCAAAUAUGAACAAGAAAUUUUCAACUCUAAGUAAGUUCUGAGUCGUAUCAAGACUUACGAAACAAUGCCAAGAUGAACAUCAAAGUGACAAGAUGAGCUCUUCACAGGCAAACAUCAGCUCAUUCUCGUACCUCUUCAGCACAAACCUCUCUUCAGAUGCUAUAAUGCUGGUGACAACACAUUUCUUGUCUGAAAAUGGCUUCCUACCUGUCCUUCCAGCUUGAUGAAGGUAAUCCACGGCACUCCUCGGAAGAUCAAAGUUGUAAAUAUGAGUUGUUUCCGGCAGGUCAAUACCUCCGGCUGCGAUAUCGUUGCUACAAUAAGACAGCCUUCUUUUUGUCUCACUUCCUGUAGUCCAAAUACGGAGGAAUUAGAUAUGAAGUCGGACUAUACAUAUUUUCACCAAUGGACCGCUUAGGAUGUGCUUAGUAUACCCAUGUUUAGCAUGACGAGGAGUAUAUGCCUAUUUUAACUUGAGAAGGUCUACUUUAGGCAUUAAUAAAGGUUAUGAAGAAAGAAAGAAACGGUUUUCCUAAAGAAAACACAGUUGUAGCCAGAUAAUUUUCUUAAGUGGUAUAAUCUCUUUGAUCCUGAUUAGUGCUACCAAACAAUAAUGGUCUGUUAAGGUUUUGCAGCAUCCUUCAUCCUGUCUAAAAAAAAUCCAGCAUCUCAGGUCCGCAGAGAAUAAGGGUAAAAUCCAUCUCAUUCCAAAUUUAUUAUAGGACAAACACAGUUGAAGGGCAUAUCUUUAAUAUGCCAAAUUUCUACCCUGAGCAUUCUCAAAGUGAGGGAAGAAACAUCAUGAUGGAAAAAGUGAAAAGCACUUACUGAGAGUGUAGCUGCUCGUGCAUUGAAAUUCAUGUCUUCUUCUAGAAGGAGAAUAUUAGAGCAGCUUCCAUAAGAAUUCUUCAAGAAUUCAAGUAGAAGAGUUGUUGGUGGUACAUUUCCAGCCUUUUUUGACUUCUCAGACUAAACGCACAAAAGAUAGAAUUGGUUAGUUGACCCGCGGACAGUUGUUUAGAAAGGUGUAUUCACGUGAUAUGUGUGUGCUCAUGAAUGCUACAAGCUUCUGUAGAAUAUAUAAAUAAAAGCUGCAUUCACUUUAAUACAUUCCAAAACCCUCUCCGUGCAGGAAAACUUUCAGGACGUUGUAAAAAAUUCUCCAUAUUUGGAAACCAAUUUUCAUUCAGCAACCGAGAGAAACGUCAUCAGAGAAUAAACUUCUUUCACUCGUGUAAAGAACUGCAUAUAUGUUUUAUUUGAUGCCCCUGCAUAUGGACAGAUGAGCUUACUGAUAAAUGCAUGAAACUCUCUUCAGUCCAUUUAUUAUAUAAAACUGAUAGCCCAUUAGACAUUUUUAGCUAAGACCACUAAUCACUGCCACAUGAAUUGGGGACAGAGCCUGCCAUAUCAUACAUCAGUUGAUGUGUCUCGACAUCAUUUUUCAUUAUCCAGAUAAAAAUCUACUUCUUCCUCUCAUGCUUAUAACAAGUACAGCACCAAAAAAUGUGAAUAAACUACGGAAAAGAGAUGCAGGAUGAGCAUCAGGCAGUAUACCUGUUCGCCAAUAAAUAUAAUGCCAGAUUCAGGGCUGUCCCACUGUAUUAAAUGUAGCAAGGUCUGAUGUCUCCAACUCCUAUGACAUGUCUGAAACAGAUAGAAGCGUUAAGCAAGUCAAAAGCCAAGGAUCAUCAAUUCAGUACAUGGACUAUGAAGAUGAACAUUAAAUGAACAUAUGCAUAACUUCUAUGAAAGAGUCUGUAGAUCAAGUUUCGCAUUCAAUGUCCUCACCACAAACCUAUGAUCUAGACAUGAUGGCAUAGGCUGUAUUGGAUUGACGUGAACGUGAACCACAUCACCCUGUAACAGGCAAAGUCAUAUUAAAAUAAAAUCAGUGAGUGCAUGAGUAAACCCCAACAGAACAUUCACAAGAAUUAUAGCUUCAUGAAACCAACCUUAGUCCACUUCUGUUGUAUACAAUCAUGUAAAAAUCACUUAUGCUGAGGUAUGGAUGCACUAGCAAAAACAGUUUGAUGGUUGUUGCAUGAUGAGUACGGUAGGCAGCAUCAAAGUAAGAAUGUCAGUUCUUCAUCCUACAAUAUCCAGGAAGAAUCAUGUCUGUAUAAAACAAGAUACCGAGGCCCCAGUGGGAUAAUCGCACAUUUUUAAUCAUACUAACAUGGUGAUUACAAAGUACCCAAUGAAAUAUACUCACAAAGAAAUAGACCAAUCAAGGCACUACAUGCUAACUGAAUAUCCUUUCUUAAAAAGGACCCUGCACCAGUCACUCUAAUCCCUAUAGGCAUAUAAGAGGCAAUAAAUGCGCACCUUAAAAAUACUCUUAAUUUGACCCAAAAAAAAAAUACUCUUAAUUUUAAAACCAUUAAAAAAAAAUUGGCCCCACUAGUGAAUGCCUGGGGAUUUUUCUGGAGGAGAAAGUGAUCUAGCAUCUUAACAAGAAUAUGGGGUUAAUGAAUCAGCUUUAAGAUGCCAAGCAGGUCUUGCUCCGAAAAGAAGAACUCAACUUAUUCCAAAUUGUUUACCUCAUCUAUCACUAGAAUCUGCACUGUGUCGAGUUCCAAAAACUUGCUUCUCCAGCAUCUGGCAUGAGCUCCUGAUGGUUGCCACUACUAUUGCUGGGGGUUCUGCCUAAAAAUGUUACAAGGAAAAGCCAAGGAGGUCAUAUUGAAGGUUGACACAUGAAAUCCAUCAACAGCAUGCUUUAAUUUUAGAGAAGCAUCCCAAAGACAUAGCUACAUUAGGCAAUUGAUAUUUGUUGGCACUUGAACGGACAAGUGUGGGGAUUCGGGUGGGCAUAUAAUUGCCAGCUUGUGUUAUCAUGCUUCUGGUCAGACAGGUCCUCUGUUCUCAGGUUUAAAAACAUCAGUGAGAAAAUUUUAGGCUUUUCCUCUUCUUAGUACAUCCAUAUAUAAGAUUCAUAAUCUCAAAAGCAGGAAAUUCCACUAAAACUAAAAAUCUAGUUACAGGGGUACUUGUAAGAGCGUGGACAGAAUAACAAAAUAGAGGAGCAAGACAACCACAAAUAUUCAGUCAAGAAAAGGUAGACAACUAAACAGACACAUGAGCAUUGACAAAGAGACAAACUUAUUUUGCCCAAAAAUGGAAGAAUUAAUAGAAGCUGUAUUUAACUGAGUAAACUAAUGCGUGGAAGAACAGUUUUGCAUAAGUUGCAGGAAAAAACAAUUUUGCAUCAUUAAACAUACACAAGCAAAUGGAUACUGGCAUAUGAUAUAUAGUCAAGAAAAGGAAAAAAGCACAUAACACAAAAGCCUUCUAUUUUACAGAGCGACCACAAAAAUGUCAUUGAAGUAUAUAGGAAGAUAGCUCUGCUAAUGGGGUUUAGGUCACCCGGGAGAGGGAAGAAUAGUGGUACCACCUAAGCAUUUCAAUAUUGAUUCUCCAUAACUUCUCCUACAUAAGGAGAAUACCAGUCAUUUCCUCAGAUCAAUAAGUAAACUAAUUAUACAAGGGGUUUCGAGAAUUAAUGUUUCUAUAUAUAAGUUGUAAUGACAGUUAUUUGUAGUUUAUCAGCGCCAGCUUAACUGUAAUUUUAUGCUCAGAAAGCACACCACACACAUGCGCACAGAGAGAGAGAGAGAGAGAGAGAGAGAACCUUUAACCAACUCCUGUGUCUUUUCAAUGUACCUCCAUCUAGAAGAGCCAUAACAGUACAUGAUUUAUCUUGCUCCAUUUCAGGAUUCAUUGGCUUUGCAGCCAACAGCCGAGCAACUUUGGCUACCUUGUCAUAAAUGGAUAACAAUAAGAAGAAGACGUGACAUUAUACUCUUAAUGUAGCACGACACCAUUUUGCGCAGAUGUAACAACCACUUUCUGAGUUACAAUAGUGAAAGAGAAGCAAAGACAAAAGGGAAAAUAUCAAAUGAAAUAUCAUAAUCAGAAACUUACCUGAAUGCCAAGUUCUCGGGUGGGGACAACUAUUAACGCUUGUACAGAAGACCGUGUUCAUAACUGAAAAUAUCCUCAGAAGGUACGUCAGUGUCUUCCCAGAACCUGUCUGGAGGGCCAAAAGCAUGAGUGCACUGGCCAUGUCAAUGCAGGAUCCUUUUACGUUUUCUUCCCUAGUUGAGUUCAUAUGCAGAGUCAAAAAGUAAUUCCAAUUGAGUUGGAAGCCUGAACAUUAACAGGAUAGAUCAUAUCACAUCAGACACAUAUUAGACCACUCUUUUCGCAAACAUCUCCUCAUAACUCAAUAAACACAACUGUGAAUUGACCAAUAUAGCGGGAUACUUCAUGACUGCCUAGUACAGAGCAAUCUUUAGCCCUUUUGAAAAGUUGCACACUAGUUCUUCCAUUGGUGUUUUCUACCAAAUUGCCGACGUGGGAAACUUUGCAGGAAACCGGAAACUGAUGUGAUAGAUUAAUUAGAUAUUAAACCACAUCUUCAUUUAAUAGCUUUAAAAUAGUUGGUAGGGGUCCACAAAAUUUCCCAUGGUAUAUCCCACAAAAUCUCACUAAUAAUGGUAAGUCUUUUCAAAUUCUCAUAAAGAGACUAAGACUGCACCGUACAAAUUAAAAGGCUCCGGCAUCGGACUUGGUUGCAUUUGCUGCCUACUUCCAGCGUACUCAUUUUAUCGUUUUGUUCUUAACAGAAAACUGAAAUCAAUGGCAAAUAAGAGACCAACCUGAGCAUGAAGCACGCAAUCCCUCCCAGAGAAAAGGGCAGGGAAUGCUUCCCUCUGAACAUCAGUCGCUAAUACGUACCCAACUUCCUCCAUCCUGCAAAACCGCCCAAACAUAAAUUCUCCACAUAGCUCCGAAAACCCAACAUCGGCAAAACAACAUCUCUCACUUCUCGCUCUAAAGUAACAAUCUCUGAACUCGGUAUUCGCACUUGCCUGCGCAGGACAUCCUCGUGCACGCGGCCGCUACAAAUUCUUCUCAGCGUGAGAGGGGCUGGCUCCGGGUCGGCCUCCUCCGCCGCGGGGGAGAAGCCGACGAGGGCUCGCGGCGGCUCGCGGCGGGACGUGGAGAGAGGAGAUUGAAUUGGGCGAGCGGCGACGAGGGCCGAGAACUUGGGUUCGGGGUUGCGGAGAAGGAAGAGGGACGAAGGAGGGACGAGCUUUGUUGCGGAAGAGACGGGAGGACAGAGAAUGGCGAGCGGAGUGGUGGGAGUAGAAGAAGAAGAAGAAGAAGAAGCAGCCAUUGUCGAGCAAAGAAGCUCGCUCCUCAGACGAGCAGCUGGUGUAUAGCAGAUACGUCUUCAACUUCGCUGUACCCCAAAUCCUCUCCGUUUGCCUCUUCCCCGAAUUAAAUUAGAUUUUGGAUCCAUUUAUUUCACAAAAAAAAAAAAAUAAUUAAUUAUCUUAAAAAAUGUGUUUUAAAAAUAAUUAUUUAUAUUACUUAUAAAAAUAAAUAAUGAAUUAUCAUUAAUAAUGAAAAUAAUUUUUAUUAAUGAUUUUAAUUGAUAUCAAUCAUCGUUUAUAGAAAAAUAUUGUUAAAGUUAGUCAUUUUCCUGGAACAAAUGAAGUUAAUUGACAUUUUACUUGAAAACAAUAAUGAUUGAUUUAAAUUUGGUCGUUAAAUAUCACUCUCAACUGCCAUGUUAAACAAAUUUACGCUAUUUUUCUUUAUUUUACAAGUAAUUCUCAACUGGACUAUGGCUUCAUACAUAUGCACAUUUUCUCAAGGUAAAUUCCGUUUCAAUAAGUUAUACUGUGAUUCUUUUUGGGACUUGUUGCAUCAUACAUUAUAAGAUUGAUAGAUCAAAAAGCAAAUUAAUAAUAUUUCUAGCAUAGAAGAAAAUAAAUAAAUCAUCUAAACAGCGGUAAAAAAUAAAAAAAAUAAAAUUACCGACGCUAGGAGGGCAAAAUGCUUAAGAGAAUUCAAGUAAUUUUGGAGGGGCGGCGGCUGUUCCUCUAAACAUUGGUUCGAAUUUUCUUCUUUUAUUUGGCUUUUCCAAUUUUCCUUCUUCUUUAUAGUCAUUUUCUAACAUGACGCUCGUAUGACACCGCAUCAACACCAAAUGUCCUUAAAUAACAUUAACAAUGCCAUGUGAACUACCACAUAGGAUUUUUAAGUGUAGUAUUUGGCAAAAUUGUGAUGGAUUUUUUUUUUUUCUGAAGAAGAAAAUUUGUGCUAAUUGAGAUAUAAGUUUAGGAUUUUCGAUAACACAAAAAAAAUUCAAAUAUUGAUGUCACAUUUCAUAUGGUUUAAGAUUUAUGAUGUCACAUCUUUCUAACCCUUUCAAGGCUCACAACUCACUUGGAUUUUGAGGCGAGUCCUAAUGCUUAAGAUUGUUGCACUCAUGAAUGACAUCCUUUAGGAUUAUAUGUCCCUCACAACUCAUUGAAUCCCGCAAAUUGAGAGGCAGUAAAUUUUGCACACGUAGCAUUUCUUCUAUAAGCAAGAUCUUGUAGAUAAAAAGGAGGUUUUGGCAAAAAGAUGAAAUACCCAUAAGCAACUUUUUCCGCUUCUUGUCCCUUUUUAGUAGGUCGAUUAGAACCCAAGUAAAGUAACGUGACAUCUAUUUACUCCUACGAACUAGAGAUUUGUGAGUUCGGGGACUUAAUUACACUAGAUUUAUUUAACGCAAUUUAAGUACAUUUCUCUUUUAUUUUCAAAAUUUUUUGCAAGCAGUUUAGAUUAUUUUUAAAUUUAUUUUCCUAACAUAUGAGGUGGUUAUGUGGGUGCACAAAUCACCAAUUUAACACCCAAGCAAGUAGUGAAUAAAUUGCAGGACUUAUCUUCUAACAACGAAAUCAUCUGCGUUGUUAGAUCAAAAUUCACAUCAACAACCUAGAUAUGAUUUCUAAUUAACACGCAAUUUCUUUUUUCGUUUUCACUUAAUUAAUGAGAAUCAUGCUUCAUGCAAUACAAUAUAACUAAAUGACAUAAUUCUAAUGACGGACAAUUUCUAAUUAAAUGAACCCAGCAACAAUCACUAAAUGAUAUGCAUUUCAUGAAUCUAAUUUUAUAUGACAUGCACAUGAAUCUAUCAUAGAAAAUAAAACUAAUUUAUUUUAAGACAUUUUUUGUAUUUUUUAUGAAAUUCGAAAUAAGAAAAAUGUGAAAAUUAUCUAACUAGAUUAAGAUUCUAUCCAAGUCAGGCUAAACCCUAAUUUAACCAAGAUAUUAUCUUAACUUAGCUCUAUCCUAAGAUGCAGUCUAUCUAAAAAGAUUAAUCUAAACAUCUUAAUUCUACAUGACAUAUGCAUAAUGAUUUUUUUUUAAUGUUUUUUUAUAAAAUUCGAAAUUUAAAAUUGCCACAUAAUUAAAUUAAACAAAAACUAACAUCCUAAAUGAAUGCAUUUUUUGAAUUUUUUUAUUUUUAAAAAUUCGAAAUAAAAUUCAUAUUCUAAAUAUGCAAGAUAAUAAGAAUUAUUCUAAAAUAAACCUAAUCCUAAUUCAAAUAUUUUUUGGACUUUUUUAAAAUAAAAUAAAAUUGAUUCAACUAAUAUGACGGUAAAUCAGAUAAUAUAUGAUCGAUAUUCAUAAAUUAAUGAACCAUAUCUCGCGCAUGAGAUCGAGUUAGCCAAUUUUUAAAUAAAUUGCGAAUCGAAUUUUCGACGUAAGAUCGAAUUGACAAUUUUGCAAGCGCGAGUUGGAUUUUGAGCAUGAAAAUCGGAUUGUGAAUCCCAAAUUUCAGAGGCAAUUUCAUGUUGGGCAAUCUCGAUCUUACAUCAACGAAUAAUCAUACUAAAAAGAACAAGUAAAAUAAAAUAAAUAGAAAACUACCUAAUGUGAUUUUCUUUUUUUUCCUUUGUUUCCAAACAAUGGCUUGGCAGCUCGUGGUGGUCGCCAAGGGUGGCUGGCCGUCGGUCCGGCAAGGGGAACUCCGGCGAGGGCGGACCGGCAGGAAAGGGGCGGCACCCGGGCAGCAGGGACAGCCAGCGGAACAGGGGCGUCGCGGUCAGAGCUGCCGGCGUUCGGACUCCGGCGAAGGGCGUCACGGCCAAAGGACUUCGGGUGCGGUCGUCGCGGGCGAAGGGCUACAGAUCCGGCUCGGGGGUCGCUCGGGUGGAGGGCUGCAGAUCCUGCUCGGGUGGUCGCUCGGGUGGAGGGCUGACCGAAACGGAUCACCGGCGAAGGCGAGGCGGCGUUGCUGCGUCUGGGCAGAAGGUUCGGCAGCAGGGGAGCAGAGGACUCACGGCUUCGAGCGGGCGGAGCAGAGCAGCAGCAGCGUCGCAGGGGGUCAGCAGCGAGUGGAAGAGGCUGGGUCGCGCCUGUCGGCGUUGAAGACGGAGGCAGCAGCAGCGACGGUGGACGUGCGGACGAUCGGGCAACAGGGAUGUCGCGGUGGUGCGGCGCGAGGCCAACUCAGGCGAACAGGGGGCGUCGGGCGCCGAGUGCUGCAGCGGUGCCACUCGGGGAAGCUCGGAGCAGCGUGCGGGCCGUCACUCGGAAAGCAGGGGGCUGCUGCUGCGUCGAUCGAAGGCGGAGGCUGGCGUCGGGGUUUGUUGCAGCGGGCAGAUCUGGAGAAGCGGCAGCCAACGCGGGGGCAGCAGACCGGCGGCGUGGCAGCGUCGUGGCUGGGUCGCAGUAGCAGAAGCGGAGCCGGCCGGGGGAGAGCAGAGACGGGCGGAGAGAGUUGAGGAAGACGAUAAACAGUAAACGUCCAAUCACUCCUCGCUUCUGCUUUUUCCUUUUCCCCCAAAGCACCGAAGGCCUCUUUUUCUUUCUUCUUUUCUUUUUUAUUCCUCUUGACCUCGAAAAGAAAACCCUAGGGAAGUCCCCUCUCUCAUGUUUUUCUCUCUGAAAAUUUUCCCCCUUUAAUGUGGCCGAAUGUCUCGAUUGCGUGGCCUUCCUUCUCUCGAAACCCACAUGAGUAACCUUUUCAUAGACCAAAAGAUUAGGAUUUUAAUUUUCUUCAAAUCAACGUUCGCAGAGAUUUCUUUUCUGCAUGCAAUAUCACUUUUAUUUCUACACCUCUUCUAGAUUUUAUUUGUAAAAAUGAAUAUUCUCUAUUGAUUUUUCAAAAAUUAUAAUAGGAUUUUUUUUCAAAUACGUGCUCGAACCCAAAUUGCUCUUUUCGUAGGCUUAGUCCAACUUGUUAACUUAAAUCUCAGAACCACCAAAUCAAAUCCAUCUGUCACCGACCCAAUGUAAGUGCAAAUUAAAAUAAAUGCACCUAAAACUAUAUGUUAUGCAAUUAAUUAAUUAACUAAUAUUUUUUUAGGGAUUAAAAUUAAUCCCUAAUUUUUUAAUGCGAUAAAUGACUAAACUGAUUGCCAAAAUUUAUGUGUGAACAGGUCGGUUUUGGAUCAUGCUCAGUCUGUGAGCCGUGUCACAAGCAUAGUUUGUAGAUCACGACAGCAAGCUCCAUCUCUAACUCUCGUCUCUUCUCUCUUCACUUAUGAGGAGAAAACCAAAAUGUUCUAAUUAUUAAGGUGCUUGAUGGCGAUUGGGAUUAUGCCCCAAUUAUUAGUUUUUGCUGCAUGCUCUUUUCUCAAGAUCUCAAACAAACAAAAAAAACACAAAUAAAUAAUUAAUUUUAGUCAAAUGUGCAAUAUAAUUCCUAAAUCUUUUGGUAUGAAAAUGAGAGAUUAGUUUGAACAUAUACUAAAAGUUCAGGAACCACAUUAAACAUAAUAAAAUGUUAUAAACCGCAUUGAACAAAAAAAAAUCAAUGAUUACAUUAUACAUUUGACUAAAGUUCAUGGAUUAUUUGUGUCAUUUUCCCCCUUGAACAACCACCCUCCUCCGCAAAAUUCAAUUGAUACACAAUAUUAUAAGUGUCGAAAUAUUUUAAUAUCAAACCGUGCCACAUCUAAGAGCAGUUUUACUAAAAUUUAGAGGAAGUUUCUUGUAAAUUUGGCUGAACUCCCAAAAACAAAUCCCUAGAUUGCGAUUCUUGCUCUACCAUCUCUUUACCGUCUAAUUAGCUCCUCUACCCUUGUGUGUAGAAAUGCCUUCAUCAACUUACAAACCCUAGAAGAAAAAAAAUCCCACCGAUUAGCUCAAUGAUCACCACGAAUUCCCACGCAGCUUUUGGUGCUUCUCUUUUUCUUUUUCCCCUUUUCUCUUCUAGGGGUUUGAUGUCACACCCCAAAAAACCCCAACUGCUGCCCUCUUCUCCCUUUCUAUAUAAGCCUUCAAAUCGAUUAUCCAGGUACCAAUCUUUCAGAUAUAAAAGAGGAUGAUGGGGCCUCAGCUUGAUUGGCUAUUCUCUGCAAAAAAAUUGGGUAUGUCACUCUUAAAUAAAGAUAUUUUAGGAAUUGUAUUAGCUGAUAAAAUAGAGGAAUGCCAACCUAUUUUAAUAGGUUAGCUAUACCAAAAUCCUAGUAUCAAUUUCCAGGCAGUUCAAACGACAAUGAGGUGAGCAUGGAAAAAUGAAAAUGUAAUAAUCAUACCUCAGGGGCAUAAUAUUUUCAGUCUCACCUUCAAGAACGAAUUGGAAAAACUAGGGUGCUAGAGAGAGGCUCUUGAUCUUUUUCAAAUCAAUUACUACUACUUUAGAAUUGUGAGCCAAAUACUCCUCCCCACUGUUAUAAGUAUGAGAAAUGUACCUUCUGGAUUUGAAUACUUAGUCUGCCAAUCGGCUGGUUUUCCUUGGGGGUAGUAGAAUCUCUAGUUAGUUCAGCACGCCAAGUAAAAGAAGUGAGAAUAGAGGCUCAUGGCCCUGCAGCCCAAAGAACAGCCAAGGUUAUAGUGGAGUUAAACUUACAUGAAGCUCUAAGAGUAGCUACUUGAACUACCUAUAAGGGCAAGAAAAUUUGGCUAGACUUUAAGUAUGAAAGGCUUCCCCGCUUUUGCUACUCAUGCGGGAAGAUUGGUCAUUAUGCAAGUUACUGUGAAGAAAUCCCAUAUGAAGAAGAAAGAUUCACAACUAAGCUGGGAAGUAGCUUUGGUAGCUGGAUAAGAGUUGAAUCCUAGGCGAACAGUCCAUUUUGGAAAAUACUCUAUGGGAAGGAGACAAUGGAAGAUCUAGUUAAAGAAAUAAUUCCAGAAACCCCGGUGCAUCAAAGCCAAAUUAUUCCUCUAGAACUUGCUCAACCAUCUUGAAUGAAAGUUGCUGAAGAGGAGGAAGGCCUGAGAAUAUGCUAUUUGAAGUAGACAAAGACUACUUGCGGUAAAACAAAAACAGAAACUAGAAAGGAGAUUAUGAUGAUUACUAGCCCUACUCAAAAGUAGAUUACUCCCAAGGUAAAGCUGUCCCUUGGUCUUAACAGUAGCAGCAUAAAGAUUGGCAGGGGGCCAAAAACCCCAAAAGUAAAAAAGCAGAGGAGAUCCAACUCUUAUUGGUGGAUGAGUCCCAACUUCUUUACACUCCAAUCCUUAUGAUAGAGGAAGCAACAAAAUGGACUUUAGUGGCUAGCCUAAUAAGUCAUUGGGGGACAAAUGGAGAUCCUAAGUUGGAAUUGUCCAAGAUCUAGGCAUUCCCUUGACAGUCCAAAUCUUAGAGCUUUGGUGGCUCAAGAGAAGCCCAACUUAGUUUUCCUAAUGGAAACUAAGAAUCAAGAAGCAGUAGUGAAACGAGUAAAGAAGCAUCUUAGUUUUCGGAAUCACUUUGUAAUUAAUCUAGUAGGGAUUGGAGAAGGGUUAGCUAUCCUAUGGGAAGAUCAAGUAAAGGUUAAUAUAGAAUUGGCUACGGCUAAGUUUCUAGACUUAAUAUGUGAAUUUCAAGAAGAUAAAAAGUAAAUGAGGGUUACACUAGUGCAUGUCCCUACUAAUUAUUGAGAGAGGUCUUUACUUUGGAUGAAGCUUAUCUAGAUAAGCUUACUUAAUAACCUUCCUUGGUAUGUUUGAGAGACUUUAAUGAAAUACUUCACCAUUGGGAGAAGGAAGGGAAGAGAAAAGCUGCUUAUUAUCACAUGUUUGCUUUCAAUGAGUUUCUGAAUUCAUGCGCAUUAAUGGAUAUUGAAUGCAAGGGAUAUGCUUUCACCUGGUCAAAUAAAAAAGAAGGGGACAAUUUUGUGAAGGAAAAGUUAGAAAUGAUUCUGAGUAAUAUGAAAUGGAGAGUUUUUUUUAUCCAGAAGCAGUAGCCUUUGCUCAUCUAGCAAUUGAUUCAGGCCACACCCACUUCUAUUAUCCAUUACUGCAGAUUUAGUGAAAAGGAACAGAGUAAUCGGGGUAGAAAAUUAUUGGUUCAGAGCUGAUUAUUUUGUUCAAGAAGUUAAUAAAGCCCGGUCCUCAAUCCCUGAACAAGUAGCCAACUUUCCAAGGAAACUUCAUACAAUAUAUGCUAAACUGAAAAGAUGGAGCGGUCAAAGAUUUGCAAAUUGUUCUUGAAGAAUUAAUUAUUUAAAAAAGGAACCCUAAAAAUAGCCAACUCUUCCAAAACUUUUGAUAGAAAUAGAGAAAAAAGACUGAAAUAGGAGACAUAAUCUUUAUGGCAGCAAGAGGAAAUGUUUUGGUGAAUGCGCUCAAGAAUCAAAUAAAUGAAAUGGGGAGACAAAGAUACAAAAUUCUUGCAUGCAAGCACUCCGAAACAAAAUUUCAAUGCUCAAAAUAGAAGAGGGGUCCUCGAUUCGCAAUGAGAGGCUUUUACACUUAGCAGACAAUAGAUUUAUUUAAAAGCCUAUAUCAUUUAGUGGGUAACAGAAACUUUGACCCAGUUUUAGAAAUCAUUUCUACAAUAGUACAUGAAGAUAUGAAUGCAUCACUUACUGCUACGGUCACUUUGGAAGAAGUCAAGCGUGCAGUUUUCCAACUAUGCCCUCUAAGUGCCCCUGGACUGGAUAAUAUUAAUGCGAAAUUUUUCAGUUCCACUAGAGACUCUUCAGUUCAAAGUAUUUCCAGUAGUUAAGAAUUUUUUCAUGUAAGGAAAACUGAAUCCUGAUUUAAAUAGAACCCACAUUACAACAAUUCUAAAAACUUCUAACCCAUAAACUCUCGAUCAAUUCCGCCCCAUACGUUUAUGUGAUUUUGCCUACAAAAUCACAUCCAAGGUAAUGGUGAAUAGACUAAAACUUUGGUUAUCAAAAUUGAUAGCUCAAGAGUAAAGGAACACACCCACUUCUAUUAUCCAUUACUGCAGAUUUAGUGAAAAGGAACAGAGUAAUCAGGGUAGAAGAUUAUUGGUUCAGAGCUGAUUAUUUUGUUCAAGAAGUUAAUAAAGCCCGGUCCUCAAUCCCUGAACAAGUAGCCAACUUUCCAAGGAAACUUCAUACAAUAUAUGCUAAACUGAAAAGAUGGAGCGGUCAAAGAUUUGCAAAUUGUUCUUGAAGAAUUAAUUAUUUAAAAAAGGAACCCUAAAAAUAGCCAACUCUUCCAAAACUUUUGAUAGAAAUAGAGAAAAAAGACUGAAAUAUGAGACAUAAUCUUUAUGGCAGCAAGAGGAAAUGUUUUGGUGAAUGCGCUCAAGAAUCAAAUAAAUGAAAUGGGGAGACAAAGAUACAAAAUUCUUGCAUGCAAGCACUCCGAAACAAAAUUUCAAUGCUCAAAAUAGAAGAGGGGUCCUCGAUUCGCAAUGAGAGGCUUUUACACUUAGCAGACAAUAGAUUUAUUUAAAAGCCUAUAUCAUUUAGUGGGUAACAGAAACUUUGACCCAGUUUUAGAAAUCAUUUCUACAACAGUACAUGAAGAUAUGAAUGCAUCACUUACUGCUACGGUCACUUUGGAAGAAGUCAAGUGUGCAGUUUUCCAACUAUGCCCUCUAAGUGCCCCUGGACUGGAUAAUAUUAAUGCGAAAUUUUUCAGUUCCACUAGGAGACUCUUCAGUUCAAAGUAUUUCCAGUAGUUACGAAUUUUUUCAUGUCAGGAAAACUGAAUCCUGAUUUAAAUAGAACCCACAUUACAACAAUUCUAAAAAUUUAUAACCCAUAAACUCUCGAUCAAUUCCGCCCCAUACGUUUAUGUAAUUUUGCCUACAAAAUCACAUCCAAGGUAAUGGUGAAUAGACUAAAACUUUGGUUAUCAAAAUUGAUAGCUCAAGAGUAAAGUGCAUUUGUGAGUGGGAGACUUAUCCAAGACAAUAUCAUGAUAGUGUAGGAAGUGUUGCAUCAACUAAGAGUAAAUAAGAGGAGGAAAAAAUUCAAUGUGAUUUUGAAACUUGAUAUGAAAAAAAGCUUAUGACAGAGUAGAAUGGGAUUUCAUGGAGGCGUGCUUAAGAAAACUAGGCGUUGAUGAAAAGUGGAUUACAUGGAUUAUGCAAUGUGUGGCUUCAGUCUCAUUCAGUGUUAAAUUUAAUGGGAAUCCUCUCCCUUACUUCCAGCCUUCGAAAGGACUUCGGCAAGGUAAUGCUUUAUCCCCAAGCUAUUUCUUUUGGUAGCAAACGUAUUAUCUCUUAUAAUGAAGAAAGUAGUGGAAUAUGGCAGUAUAAAGGGUAUUAAGCUUAACUAUUUUUGCCCCACCUUAUCACAUCUCCUAUUUGUGGAUGACUCUAUCUUCUUUUUAGAUAGGAGAAUUCAAGAAUGCUAUAUGUAUAAGAUGGACUGCAUUAGUAUUGUUUUACCACUGGACAAGAGAAAAACCUAAACAAAUCAAGAAUAUUCUUUAGCUCAGGGUGUCCACAGACCUUAAGAGCCAACAUGAUUUAUGAAUUGCGUGUUCCUAUAAUAGAUAAAACAGGAAAACACCUUGGAAUAUACCAUUAGAUUGCGGAGAGUCUAAGAAGAAUAUGUUUGCCUAGAUGCUUGGAAGAGCUAACAAAUAAUUGGAAGGUUGGAAGGAAUCUUUAAUUUCUAAAGCGGGGAAGGAGAUAUUACUAAAAACAAUAGUGCAGGCUCUUCCUCAAUAUGAAAUGUCAAUUUUUAAGAUUCCUGAUUCCAUAUGUAGAGCAAUUGAAGAGAGAAUGGUAGCUUUUUGGUGGAAAAGCAGAGAGAAUUUCACUCUAGUAUUCAUUGGAAGAGUUGUAAUUUCUUGAAGCAAAGGAAAGACAAUGGAGGCAUGGGAUUAAAAGAUUUACUUUCUCUUAACAAGGCUUUCUUAGGUAAGCAAGCCUGGAGAUUAAUGCACCCUCUUUAUGGGGUCAAAUUUUUAAAGGGAUUUACUUCCCAAAAAGGAGUUUUUGGCAUGCAAGGGAAGGGCAUAGACCCUCCUGGGGCUGGCAAGGUUUACAAGAGGGAAGAGACUCAAUCUCAGAAUCUUCAAUGUGGAUAGUGAGAACAGGAGAAGCAAUCAGUAUCAAAGAGGACAAAUGGUUGAAAAGAGGAGUAAUUGGAGGGCUAGCGAAUGAAAAUGACCCACAAUAGGUAGAGGAGCUUAUAAACCACAGAGAGAAUUCCUGGAAUGAACAUCUUCUUCAAGAAGUUUUCAAAGAGGACACUAGGAAGGAAAUUCUAGCUAUUUGUCUUAGAAAUCACUCUAUUCAAGACAAACUGGUGUGGAAUAGCAAAUUACAUAGUAAAGAGUGGCUAUAACUACAUAAGACUUACCGAGGACAUACGUAAAGCUCCAAUGGCUCUCCUCAUCUUUCUCGGCUCCUCGACCUAUAUAGAAUAAGUGUGGCACCCCUCGACGGCCCCCGAACCGUUAGGGUCGCCACAGUUUGAUUACCAUUCUCUUGCUUGACCUGAAGGUCUAUCAAUCCUAUGGGUUUAUAUCAUUUAGAUCGGUCCUUGUGCAAUUUAUAUGGCGAAAGCGUAUCUAACAACUCCCUUCCCUAUAUUUAUAAAACAAUGCACACCAACUAAACAUCUUAUAUAAGUUAACUCGAACACUUUUAUUUACAUAACUAGAUGGACAUCAUUCGUCGGUAUACCAAAAUGUCAUAGUCUUCUAUACUCGGCUAUACUUCAAAAGAUGACUGACAUCUUUUUUUUUUUUUUGCAACAGUCGUAUACUUAAAGUUCAUCGAUUAGUGUUGGCGUCCAAAAGUUCAUUCCUCUGCUGUCCUCCUCCUCGCGGCCAUAUCCAACCACUCGGUCCAUCUGCUGGUGGCGGUGGCAGUAGAGGUAUCUUGUCUAGUCUGAAAUGUUAAUCCCCAAACGGGGUGAGUACAACCACUCAGCAGUAAAAGAUUCAUCAAGCUAUAUCAAGCAUUACUAUGAAUAUCCAGAUUCAAGUAUGGUAGACAAAAAUCAGGUAGUUGAUGGAUCAAUAUACAUCAAAAUCAUGAAAUCCUUUAAUGCUAUGGCAAAUGCAAUUUUAAAAGAUUUAGAUGCAUCAUGUCCAGUUACACCAAUCCCGAUUAUGGGGCCAAACCGUGAUGACACGUCCUAUUUCAUGCCAUACAAUUUAGUCUCAUAACUAGACCACACUCACACUUAAUAUAAUAAUCAGUUUUAAUCAUUCAAACGGUUUUAUCCCCCCCCCAAAGGACCAAUGUUUGCAUCCUUCUUGGGAUUCCGCACCCAACCCUGGCGUCGCGGAGGCCUCCGGGCAUGUAUUCAAAAUACAACCAGGCAUCCAAAGGGCAUCGACUUAUUCGAACCUUUGAGCAUCUCGCACCCCACCUGGUAUCAUGAGGAAUUACUGGGGACCAUAGGCAUGGUUACCCCAAACCUUUAGGCAUGCAUCAUAAUACAACCCCUCACCCUUCGGGCAUGUAUCAUAAUACAACCGGACAUCCCCACACUCCCGAGGAAAAACCUCUGGGCAUGUAUUCACAAUACAACCAGGCAUCCAAAGGGCAUUGACUCAUUCGAACCUCUGGGCAUCCCGACUCCCGGGGCAUCGUUGACCCGAGGGUCCAACGGUAACAAUUAAUAUCUUAAUUCCCAAAAACUCUAUUCAAUGCAAUGAAAAAAUGUCUCUUGAGUCUCAUCACAUCUCAAUAUUGCAUGAUAUGCCAAUUCCAGUAUCAUCAUAUCACAUAACCAUUACAAAACAUAUUCACUUUUGGGACAUUUUGUGAAAAUUCGAAAAUAGAGCAACUUGAUUUUACCAUGCACAGUUCUGGUAAAUAUUUCUAAAUAAAUACUAAAUGAGCUCGGAAAAUUGUGAAAUUUUAACAUGUUAUCAAUGAGACUUUAAGAAAAAAUUUUUGUGAAGAACACCAUGUCAAAUUCCUUACGUAUCAAGAGUAAAAAUUCCGGUAUUCCUUAUUGACGUUCUGUAAAAUUUCUAGAUUUAACAUUUCCAUAUAAAAAUCAUUUUGUCGACCAAAUAUUGUCCAUUUAUGCUAAAAAAUUUUAUAUGUUACUUCUACAGAUAUGUUCUCCAACUUUCAUUAAGGACUCGAAAGUCAAAUUUUAGCUAGAAAAUUACAGAAAAAUCAAAAAUUCACCGAGGGUCACACUGUCCUUCACAAAACAGUCCAUUAACCUAAUUGAGAGUUUUUUUUCCUACUCCUUGAAUUUCGACCUCCAACAUCCACAAUCAAAUAGAUACAAGUGUAUUACACUAUAACACAGCCUUAUCACUUCCAAAAAUCCUCCAUAGUCAGAUUUUUAAAUUCUUGUUCCAUCUCAAAUUCGAAAUCCACAAUGCAUGCCCUGUUUUUCCUAGUUUUCUUGAUCUAGCUUCAUCUUACAUGUCCAAAAUCCAACAUGCAGCUCUAAAAUUUCACCUUUCUCACGUCCACCAACUCUUAGUUAGAUAAAACAGCAAGCAAAACAUAGAUUGAAGAACUUCUACUUGCCUUAAACAUCUCUACUCGAUCGCUGGCCAAAAACAGGGGUUCGGGAGGGUCUUGGCUUAGCUCAACAGCGGCGGGGAUCGGCGGCAUCAACGGCGACAGCUUGGACAUGGUGGAAGACGGCCUUCCUCUUCCCCCUUGCGGCUCAUGCCCGUACGCUCGCUCACCCUCUCUUUCGGUCUCUCACUCGACCCUCUCUCCCUCUCUCAAUUGCUCGGUUCACUCCCUUUCUCUCUCUGCCCUUCAAUUCCGAAACCCUCUCCCUUUUUGUUUCCUAAAUUGGCUAGCAAUCAUUUGAUUUUGCAUGCAGGAGACACUUGGUUCCAAGAGGAAGACAAGUGGCUUCACAGAAUGAACAAGUGGAGGCAAUCAAAGACAAGUGUUGGAUGGCAUCCCUCACCCCCCCCCUUUUUUUUUCUUGGUCUGGUCGACAUUCUUGGGGGGCUUUUUGGGCUUGCUUGGGCCCGAAAUUUUGGGCCCAAAGUCCUUAAAAUAAAAGCCCAAAUUAAUUUAAUAUCCCCAUAAUCAAAUUGUUUCAUAUACAAGGAUAAAAUCGAAAUUCUUGCGUGCUGUCCAACAUUCUCAAAAAUUUUAUUCUUUAAAUUUCAGCAUGCACAUUCCUUACGAAAGACCGAAUUCCAUCCUUUCGGUUCAAAAAAAAAUAUUAAUCAAUCAUAGUCCAAAGAUUUUCUCUUGUUGCAUGGUUGAUCAAUCCAUCGCUUAACAUACUAUACCAAUCUGACAAAUAAACAAAUACGGAUGACUGCCUGUCAUUUAUACCAUUGCUAUAGUUCGAUAAUACUUUUAUCGAUUGGUCAUGACCGUCACCUGUCUAAGGAUCGUUGAAAUUCUUGGAUGCCACAAUAAGAUCUGGAAAAUGCAAACAAUCUCUAAAAUUAAGUUCUUCCUUUGGAAUGCAUGUCAGAAUAGUCUACCUACAAUGGAGAACUUACACAAGCGAAAAAUGGUAGUGGAUCCUCUUUGCUUCCUAAGUAAAGGUAAGGUGGAAUCCAAAGAGUAUCUCCUCCUUUGUCCUUGGACGCAAGAAAUUUGGGCCCAACCAUCCCUAAACAUUCAAAAAACCUACCUUCUCUAGUGCUUGUAGCAACCAUCUUUAAAGGUCAACAUCGAUGGAUCCUUCAUUGAAAGCUCUACGGAAGGAGCAAUCACCUGUAUUAUCCGAAACUCAGGGGGAACGCUUGUGGAUGAGAAAAUAUUGGAAACACUAGACUUCUUACUCCCUCGAAGACAUGAUCCCCUCAAGUUAAGAGUAAGACAAUCUGACUUUAGUUAAAGCUAUGUAGAAUCCAGAUCCUAUUCCAUGGGAUGCACACGCAAUCAUCUCCCAAUGCCUUGAUCUGUCAUCCAGCUUCUCACAUCUGCGUAUCACCCGUUGCCAUUGUGAAGCCAACUCUAUUGUGGACUGGGCCGCAAAAGCUCAGUGCCAAAAAACUCUGCCAAGGGAUUGGAUUUCUUCCCCUCCCCAAAUCUUGUUGGAUUUACUUUGUAAGGAAGCCCGGUUUUUGGGCCCUGCGUUUUCAAAUUGAAUUAAAGUUAAUCAAUUUAUGACCAAAAAAAGAAAAAAUUGGCUUCGUAACUGAAUAAGCAUAUCACCGAGUCAAUAGGUAAUUCACCACCUCUAGUGAUUCGCUAUAUAAUCCGCAUAUUCCAUGAUAUCCGCAUGGUUUAUGAUAACAACAUGUCCUACACCCAUAGAUAUGGAAAUAAGAUACAUCCAAUAAUAGGUGAGAAUGUCAUAUGCCAAUAAUAUAUAUAAAAUCUAUCAAUCAAAUUUAAAAGGUUAGAUCUAUUUAUCGUAUAUAACUGUGCCGGGAGAACUUGAGGCAAAGUUGGUGUAAAUUUUUGAAUGCAUUUUGUCCUAUUGAAUUGGUUAAAUGAAAACAUAGAAAGUGGGUUGUAAUUUUUAGUAAAUUGAAUCAAAACUGGACAGGAAUAGGACAUCGAGUGCGUAUUCAUCAUCCAUUCCGAAUCCUCCCACAUGGUUAGUAUAGCGAGUCUUUCAUCAAUCAGGGCUUCAGUAUCCCAAAUAGAGUGCAGUCUCAAAUGCACAUACCUAGACUCUAGUGACCUUGCUCUUCACACCAGAAACAUCAUCAAAUUUGGUUCAACGUCUAUCAUUCUGAUAGCAAAAUUAACCACGGUAAGAUUUCAACUUCAGGAAACUGUGUCUCCGAGACAUCCGACGGCAGCGGAUACAUCAAAUCCAAACCAACUCCAACCGCAGCUUCCCAAAGUAGAAACCUCUUAACUUCUUUAUUGACCCGACAAAGUUUAGCAGGCAAAUAUCGAAUGGCUUCCAUUUAAGCACGAAAAACCAAACCGAAAAUCACAGACAACUCCCUUCAAAUAAAGAUUCCAACAAAGCUCCAUGCAGGUGCCAUUUAUGGUGGCAAAUUGAAAUACAAUUGCAAAUUAUUGGGCACUAUAUCAACCUGAUUGGCAAGACAUUCAGUAUUUCAGAAAUCUUUUAUGUUCACAAACGGUUUCAGCUCUGCAAAGCUUUCUAUAGAAGGUGAUAAGGGCAAUAUGGGAUAACAACAUGUGGACAUCCUUACCGUUCCACGGAUGUAUCAUCAGCAUUUGGAGAAGUCCAAGCAACAUUGAGCUUCCUUUUAGAAUUGCCUUUCGAAAGCUCUUUCGGGCAUCUCGGCAUUUACAUCACAACCAGAUGGAUGAUAAUCAAAUCCUAUUAGUGAAUCAAAUCAAAUCGAUCUAGCAAUUAACAUCAGCGAACUACUAAUAUUACACCAAAGUUCAUAGAUCUUUCUUUGUAAAACUCAAUAUUAAUUUCCCUUUUGAACUCUUUCGAUCCAACUAAUACGCAUCAUAGUGAAUUCAACUUAAGUCGCUUGCUUUUGUGGUAUAUUGUAUAAUUAUUUUCAUUUCAUCAUGUGCUAUUCAUAUAUCAGAAUGAAUGCAAGAUAGUUUUCAAACGGCAUACAAGAUAAAGGAAAGUUUCUUCAAGAAACUUUGGGGAAUGCUUCCUGUGUUUUUUCUUGUCUCCAAGUAAAUGCACAAAUAAGAGAUUAUGCAUAAUAUAAGGGAUUAUUAUACAGUGCAAUCGAUUAUUCCAAAAGGCAUUAUCGUUCAUGUCUGCUAUCUUGAUUAUUUGCUUGACUCAAAGGUUUGGUAAUGGAUAGAUGACUUUGCUAACUAUCAAAAUAUUAAGAAGUAUUCUUCGGACUAAUCUAUUAAUUAUCUUGGACUUUUAGGUACAUCACGGAUUGACAACAGACGAACAUGGAUUUUAUAAUAAGCAAAAUAUAAGUUGCAAUUUUAUCGAUUGCUCCCAACAAUUCACAAUAGUUUUGCUUCUAGCCUGUUUGCUAGUUUAUUCACAACCAACCCGCUAGGAGAAGAGUUAGUUCUAGCAUUUAGGAUGCGUUUGGUCGUCUAAAUUUCUAAACGGGAUAGGAUUGGAUAUGAUAGGAUAAGAAAUCCAUGGAUUUCUUCAUAUCCCAUCAACUGUUUGGUGAAUUAUGGAUUUAAAGUCGGAUAUUUUCAUAUCCUAUCCAAUCUACUGUUUGGUGAACUACGGAUUUAAAGUCGGAUAUUCUCAUAUCCUAUCCAAUCUAUCGUUUGGUGAACUACGGAUUUAAAUUCGGAUAUUUUUAAAACAAUAACAUUAGGCAAGUACAAAUUUGCAGGUUUAAUAUUCACAAAAUCAUCCAAAACAAUAUAUCUUUUUCAAAUUAACAGAUUCUCAUUGAAUUUCAUGAUUACGCAUUGUAAUAAUCUUUUCCAUUCCUUUGAAAUAAUCUUUUGGAUACCCCCUUCAAUAUCAAACGUUUUUAGAAUAACCUCAAUUUCAUUAUAUUCACUUUGAAACAUGAAUUCUUUUUCUCUCUUACAAGUUUUUCAUUUGUUUCUAUUUUUUUAUAGGUCCAAUACCAAAUCAUGGCUAGGUUUUUUGCCAAAGAGUUAGAGAAACUAUUUAUGAAAAUAAAAUACAGAGGCAAAGAAUAUUAUAGAUAAUGGUUUUCUUGGCAAUGAACAUAGAGAUAAAGUUUCAAGCCAUAUCCACUUCUUUUCAAGUCAUUGCUACAACUAAAAGGUCCAAAAAGAUAACAUUAAAACUUAUAGCUAGCUCCAAAAACCCUUUAAAAAAAACAUAAAGAAGAAAAAAAGAAAAAGCAUGGAGAGAAAACAUAUCUCCUACAAACUCAUAAACAACUCAAUCAUCACUCAUUCUCUUCUCUCAUCUCUUGGAGAGGUAAUUCCACAAAUGCUUUCCUGUCAUCUCCUUGAAAUCCCAAAAAUAGAUGAAUAUUCUCAAGAUCCUUCACAAUUUUUCUACAUAAUUUUAUUCUAUCCAUAGUACCUAAAGACAUUUGAAGAAGCUCCUCAUUGAUUUUUUGCUUGUCAUUAUCCAAAUCCUUGGCAUGUUCGAUGCGGCUAGCGAUCAUCUCCAUUCUCUCGUUAGCUUUUUCCAAGAAUGAACCAAAAGUUCCUACUAUCUCAACUAAGCCAUCAGCCCAUUUGUCACUUGCUUUAGCCCUUUUUAUUUUUGAAGAAUCAUAAACAUUUUGUGCCUGAGAAGAUGAUAGUGGCAGUGAUUUUUGACUUACACCGUUGGUUGCCACAUUAUCAUGAUUUUCACCUUUCUCAUGAUCUACAGCUGCAUGAGCUUCUGAAGGGUCUUCACUGAGAUUUCCCUUGGCACGAUCUUUUCCAAAUACGAUUGCUAGUCAAUCAUAUUGAGGGAAGGACUUCCCUCUCAAAGAAGCAGCUCCUGGAUAGGUCUACAAAGAAAAUUAUAUUAUUUUGUUAAAAAUUAAACAAUUAAUAAAGAAGACAAAUAAGAAGAAGUGACACAAACCUUGCAAUAUUUUGCCCAACUAUCCUCAGAAUGAAUAUCGACACAAUGCUUUUCAUGGUCCCACCUAAAGCCACUUUGAUUCCUCAAGUCAUAUAUUUGAUUAUACAACUUUUUCAAAUUUUUCAUUUUCAACUCUUUGUGAGGAUUACCCUUGAUGCUAGAACAAGGGAACUUUUCUUCAAACCACUUUUCUAACAUAACCAUGUAACCACUCUUGAAGCCGUUAUUGGCUUUCAUUCCUCGCAUAACUAAUUCUUCAAGACCAUCUAGAAGUGCAUUUUCUUCAUCUAUUGUCCAUAUACGUCAGUCUCUCUUUGUUCCCCUUCCUUGAGUUUGACUGAAACUGCUACCUUCCAUUCCUAAACAGAAAACUAACUCAGCAUAUAUGUUGAUUGAGCCACUCCCAGAUUUCUUAAAGUAACAAAAAACAGAGAAACAAAAAACUAACUCAGCAUUCAAUCAGCCAUGAUAUUCAACCCACACAACAAGAUAUAGCCUUCCCUCACAAGCGAUGUGAUAUCAAUAGUGACUUUGCCUCACAUAAGCAAAAUGGAAAUGGUAGAAACGAUAUGUCUAGGUAAGUAAUCGAUUCCUUCUCCCACUAAAGCAAAUAUCAUCGACACUCAACACAGACACUGACAGAACAGCAAAUGUGCUAUAGAUUGACCUCAAAACAGCAGAUGCAAAUAUCAUACGAUAAUAUCUUGCAAUUUCUACUAAAUACAGGGAUCUCCUUCAUUGCUUGAACUUUUCUUACUAGAAAGAAAUUUACUUGAGAUUUACCUGGAGUGAGAAGAUCAAUACAUAAUGUAUGACCUAUAAAGGCAUAAUCAAUAGGGUUUUACAUUUGGGUUAUACUUUUACUUUUUGCUAAUCGGGCCAUGUUAACAACCCCACUCACUGCAAUCUAUCAAUGAUCUUGAUUAAUUCUCCAAAGAGUAGAACAAUGUAGCAUUGAAUGUCAUAUUUUCAAUAUCAAUGCUAGGUUUAUACAUAUACGUUUAUAUAUCUAUUCCUAAAUAAAUUUAUAAUGGAACUCCAGCACAUGCUACAUGAAAAGGUCCCAAACAAAAGGAGUGUGCAAGAAUUAUAACCAAAGAAACUUUCAAAUAUAUGCCAAAUUGAUUCCUAGUGUAAUAAAAAGACCCUAGUGCAUUAGAGAUCAAUCUCAUUGAGAAUCAAUCUUUUAGUGGGGGGCUAUAGAAGCAAUGUAUUGAACUAACUGUGAACAGUAAAUCUUCAAGAUGGCAAUAAAUUCUCCUAGUGCAAGGGAAUAGAAAGGGAUUAAUAAGCAGGGCUUUUCCCACAUCCAUGGCGUGCUUCUCUUUGUCAAUCAUUUUCCUUUUAAACUCAAGCAAUCAAGCAUGAGUCUCAAGUUCAUAAAAAAAAACCACCCAUAUAUUGUACAUACUUUUAGAAUAAUUUGCAUUACAUGCACAUUCAAACUAUCAAAUCCAAAUCCAUAAAAAAAAAAAAAAAAAAAAAAAAAAAAAAAAAAAACUACCCAUAGCUUGUGCACUCUUCCCCUCUGGCCCACAACGCCCAUCCAUCCAAUUUGAUGUUUACCGAGAAAGAAGAAACAAGAGGAGUUUGCCUAAUUAGAAGAUUAAAAGCUACUUUGAUGUUUCACCUUUCUUCUACAACACACGACAUUUUCAUCGUCAUUAACAACGAAUCAACAUUUGGCAAGCCUCUUAUCUAACUUAUUCGGUUUUCGAAAGCUAAUAUGGGAAGCUCGUAAAUCCACUUGUCUAUUCUUGUUAAGAAGCUAAUCGGGGAGUCUUUGGUCCAAUUACACGUGAAGGAACGCCACAAAAUACAAAUGGGUAUUUUAGUCAUUCUGAGCAAGGAUUUCAUCAAACCGAACACUUCAGGGAAAAUCCAAAAUAAGUUAGAAGAGAAUCGUACCGUGUUCAUGGUCACUACUGCCGGGAAAGGGCUUCGUGAAGAUGAAAAUCGAUGGCUCCUGGUCUUGGCUAGCCGAUUCGUCGGAGGGUCGGUUGCCGGAGUCGCUUGGGAUGACCGGGGGACAUUGAUCCUUGGGUUUGCAAAGAAGGUCGUGGCCUCCUCUGCUCUGCACACGGAAAAACUAGCCCUCAAAGAAGCGUCUGUUGCUGGUUGGGCGAGGAAAGGGAGAGAGAAUGAUUGUUUACCUUUGAAAAUUUGUUGCUUUCGUAAAAUUUUGAUGAGAAUCGAAGAGCUACUGAGGAGAAAGCUUCAACGUCGAUACUUUGGAAAUAGAGAGUCAUCUGUGGGUGAACGACGGAGAAAGAAAAAAAAAGCGUAGGGUUUUAUGUUUCAGAUAAAAGAAAUUCUAUCUGACUUUAUCCCACCCCCCUCGGAUUUUUUUAUCCGGUCUAUAUCCCUUCUAUAUCCGAGCUUAUCCUAUUUUAGACAGCUACCAAACACGGGAUAAGAUAAAACAUAUCAUAUCCUGAUUUUUAUCCAGUUGACUAAACGCAGCCUUAGUGUUUCGUCACUAAUACAAUUACAUUAAUAAGCUAAUGUGGACAUUCAGCGAGAUAAAAUGUGGGAAACACAACGGCUUGACAAAAUUAUCCCAAGUUGUACCUUAGAAUCCUAAAUUCACUCUUAACCGUACCUUAGAAAUAUGCAAUCAUAAACUGUACGAAGAACGCAGAGCAAACUAAGACCUCACAUCAGAAGACUGAAAACAACAAUGCACUUAAAAGGCCUUUCAACCAUUUCCAUGAACCUCGCCCCUGGAUUGCUUGAAUUAAAACAAGAAAACAAUAACACUGUCAACAAGGAAAUACUAAUGAAAAGUUGAUAAAAGUCAAAAGAAGUUGCAAUCAGCAAAUACAAAUGAAAAUUGGAUGAUAGAUCUCCAAAGGAAAAAAGGUAGCUUAACUGCUUUAUGUACCUGUUUUAGGAAAUGCAGAUCAUCUCAACUAUUCUAACUUAUCCGAGUCGUCUUGUCCCAAUAACCAACCCCUAGCUCCUAAACCCAUCGCAUGUUGCUCUAGCUCGUAAUUUUGAUAAAGCUGCCCUCUAGAUAAUUCUGGUAUUGUCUUGAGAGACUUGCAUCCAGAAAUGUCCAAUUCCACAAGUUGCUGCAAUUUCUCGAGCCCUUGAAGCUCAGUCAGUUUCACACAAUUUUGCACAAUCAGACACUCCAAGUUGGUACAUGAUGAAAAAUCAGGUAAGAUCUCAAUCGAUGAACAUCCCAAGAUAACAAUAAAUCGUAGGGAUGUCAACUUCUCAAAUCCUGGGAUCUCCCGAAGUUCAUCACAAUUUAACAGGUACAAAUACCGUAAAUUAUGAAAAUUUGACAAGUUUGGUAAUUUUGCUAAGAACUCGAAUCCCUUAUUAAUAAAGUCUCACAGGAUGUGAGUCUCUUUAGGUUCUGAGUAUCAUGAAGCUUGUCACAGUUAACAAUUUCCAAAAUUCGUAAGGUGUCAAAGCAACAUAAAUUUGGUAACCUUACAAGGGAAGUGCACUCAGAGAUUCUUAACACUUCCAAAAACUCCAAUUUAUCGAGGCCUUGAAUUUCGACUAAGUUUUUGCACUGGAGAACUUCUAAUUUCUUCAAACCCUUACAUUUUGAAAGGUCCAGCUGUUCAAUUGCAGAGCAAAGACGGAUCUUUAUCUCUCUCAAGAACUUCAAACCCUCAGAUUUUGAAAGGUCUAGCCGUUUAAUUGCAUCGCACCCAAAGAUUCUUAUAUUUCUUAAGAACUUCAAACCCUUAGAGUUUGAAAGGUCCAGCUGUUCAAUUGCAUCGCACCGUACGAUCAUUAUCUCUCUCAAGAACUUCAACUUAUUGAGGCCCUGAAUUUCGACUAAGUUUUCACAGAAUUGAAGAUGUAAAGUCCUCAGACCAUUGGAUUUUGAAAGGUCCAACCUUUCAAUCGAAACCCGCGAGAUCUUAAGGAAUUCCAAGAGCAUCAUCCUAUCAAGGCCUUGAAUUUCGACUAAGUUUUUGCAACCAUGACAACGUAGCCUUUCAAUUGAAGGGCAAUAAUUGAUCUUUAAUUCUUUCAAGAAAUCCAACCGAUUGAGGCUUUGAAUCUCGACUAUGUUUUUGCAAUCCUUAACACUUACUGUCUUCAAAUUCUCAGAUUUUGGAAGAUCCAGCCUUUCAAUUGAAUCACACUUUGUGAUGAUCAAGCUUUCCAAAUAUAUCAAUUUGUCAAGACCUCGAACUUCAUGCAUGUUAUGGCAAUGCUCAAUAAAUAAUGUCCUCAACUGGUUCAAUUGUGAAAUGUCCAUUAUUUCCCCAAAUGUGACGUUUGAAGCUUUUAAAUCUCGGAGCUUUCUCAUCCUAAAAAUACCAUUGGUUAAUUCUAACAUGCCAAAGGUACCACCAAUAUGCAGAAUUUCUAGAUUUUGUAAAGCUCCUAUGCUAUCUGGCAGCACCUUGAGUCUAAAACACUCCUCCAACUUCAAGCGUACCAGGUUCUUCAAGUCUCCGAUAGAAGAGUCAAUUUGCUCUAAUUUCAAACAAUGACAGAGUAUCAGAACCUCUAAAUUCUUAAAAGCUGAGAGGAAGACUGUGCUUCUUAAGGAUUGACAAUCUGUAAGGUCAAGAACUUUUAACUUCUCUGCCAUCUGGAAAAAAACAUAACAAUAAAAAUCGAGGGUUAGCCUAGAGCAAUUAUGAUUCCAAAGAAUGCAGAAAAAGAAAACUUAUUCUUCAAUCUUACCAUGGAACUCCAUCCUUGCCAUUCAUUUGAGAUCUUGCUCAAAGACAAAUCGAGUACGACUAAUUCCGUUAGGCGAAAAUUAUUUGCUUCAAAAGUUGAGGGACAACCCCGCCAUCGAAGCCAUUUUAACUCCCCCAUUGAAUUCUCAAAAUCUCCUCUAAGACAUGCCCCACUCACAUCAAGGAACCUUAGACCUGUUAACUUCUUGAAUUGCUCAGCUUCAAAAUUCUCGAAUUUCUCAGCCUCAAAAUUCUCGAAUGGCCCAGCCUCAACAUUCUCGAAUGGCUCAUCAAAGUGGGAAUGGUGAACUUUGUUAAAAUAAAUGGCCUUAAUAUUUUCUGUUCCCUGUAGGUAACCAUCAAUGUUCGUUAAUCCUAUUUAUAUCCAACAAAACUAAUCUAAUAUUAUUUGUUCAUAUUGCUAUAACAUGCAUAGACGUUCUUAAGAGACUAGUAAAGUAUCGACAUAUCAACUUUGAUAUUGAAAUGUGGCCAUACGUACUUGGAUCUUAAAAAGAAUUAUAAUGUUCUCUUUUUUUGGUUUUUUUUUUAAUUUUAGUUUGUAUAAUAGUUUGUAUAGUAUUACUCUUUAGUAUAAUGGCUCAUAAAGGGAAAAACUUUACAACUUGCAAAUCCUCUUCUUUCCGCUAAUUUAGCCGCAUUACUAUAUUAGUUAGGAGUUAGGACGUACAUUCAAUGCACAGGAUUUCACAUUAUGAAGUCCUUUUCUUUUCCGCUUCUUCUUAUGUAUAAAUUUCAUAUAUGUUACUUGAGUGUGCUACUUACCCCAUUAAUAAAAACUAACAUAUACUCACUGUUGUUUUUCCCAUUGGAGUAAUGUAUAAUUAUAAGUAACUGAACUUGUGAUGGUAGUCAUAUUAAUAUCCUGUGUAAUUUAUUUCAUUAUUACUAAUAACUAAAAUAUCAUUAAUCAAUUACUUUCUAAUUAUAGUAUUAUAUUCUCUAUAACAUUGUUUUAGCGUAAAUUAUGACUUAAUUAUAGAUUACAAUUUGAUUUAUUCUAAACAAAUCAUAACUAUAGAUGAUUGAAAUAUUGAAAUAUAAUAAAUGUAAUAUCAUAGAUCUAAUAACUUUGGUCCAUUCAAAUAUAAUCAGUUAUUAAAUAUGCAAAGUCAUUGCUGAAAUAUGAAAAUUGAAGCUAUGCUUAGCUACAUGGAAUAGUUUUUCCUUGGCCCCCUAAAAAUAACUAUUCCUGAUUUUGGGAGAAUAGUAAUACCUAAUCUAUUUUUGAAUAAAGCGAAAUAAUAACUGCUUCAUCAGAACAAAUGAUAAAUAGAAUAGCUAUUCUUGCGAACCAUUGUAGCAAGCUUUCAUCAAGAAAAAUCACUAAAGCAUUCGAAGUCGAGAAAAUUCAGGGAUUUACACAAUUUAGUUUCUCCGAACAUGAAAAUUUCCUUUGGUACUUCACAUUGUUGUACAAGAUUUCAUGGAUACUGAAAGGAGAAUGACGUAACUAGUGGAGGAGGAAAUAGAUUUCAACACCUAAAAGGAAUCCAAGUUAAGAGUAAUAAAAAAAAAAGGAAGCAACCUCCAAAAGAAGUAAUCAUACUCAGAUUAGUCAUUUCGCUCGUAAGCUUCCCUAAAAAUAUCAAGAAAUCCUAUCUGUCAUCAAGAAUUCUUUGUUUUCAACUGUGUAUCUUUUUCACUUUCAAGAAUCGAUCCAUAAAUUUUGAGUAUACUUACAGCCAAAUCCCAAAAACAAUCCCAACUUUUUGUACUUGGGACAAAGGUAGCACAAUCUUUCAAUCAUACCAAAAAAAUGCCUAACCUUUUACAUCUAGAGCAAAUAUUACAUAACCUUUCAAAAGCAUAUUAAAAAAAAAAAAAAAAAACCAAUCAUCUACCCGUGGAAGAAAGCUAACACCCGCUACAAUUGUCGUCCAUUGUCAUCGUUAUAUCACCACAAAUACCCACAUGGUUCACUGUGCUGACGUACACAGCAAACCAUAUCAACAAGCGCAAAAAACUACGUUGUUUUUCUAUUUUUAAUAACCUUUGUACCUAAUUUUUAGCAUUUUGAAAUAUAAAAAUCUAUUUGUGAUCAUGAUUAUUGUGGUUUACUGUGUAUGUUCGCGCAUUGAGCUGUGUAGACAAUGCAUGGCGAUUUAAAGUGUGAAUAAGCAGAAUUUGUAAAGGGUGUCAAUUUUGUCCACUGAAUGAAAAGUUGUAAUAUUUUCGGCCAGCAUGCAAAAAGGCUAGACUUCUUUUUACGCUCUUUUAAACUUUGUGUUAUUUUUCUCUCAGUUGCAACACUUUGUAUUUUUAUUUAUUUGGUUGUAUACUCAAUAAUACCCAUGGAGUGAGUUAUGAAUGUGUUUCAAUUAUGAUUUAUAUGUCAUUCGUUUCCUGUUUAUGUAAGUUGUAUUGUCUAUGCUUCUCACUUCGCAUGGGUUUUAUCAAAGUUGAUCCCAUUUUUAGAUAAUAUAAAUGAAAGUAACUUUAGGUAUUUUGAUUAAAUGUAGGAAUAAACUUUAAAGAUCUUAUAUCAGUUUUACUGAAAGCACUUUGAUUUUGACUUAUGAUAGUAACUUGAAUUGAACGAACCGAAAGUAUAUCCUGCAAAAAUACUGAAAUAAUUAUGUCAAACAUGCACCUUUUCAAUAGUAAAAGUUAAUUUUACCAGUUUAUUUAGAUAUAAAGUAGACAGGAUAUUCAUUUUUCUUUUGGUUAGUUUAGCUUAUUUCUGAUGUAAUAUGAAAGACAUAAUAAAUAGACAUAGUCUUUGAAUUUGUUAAUACAUGAAUUGGCUAUUGAUAUUAUGCAAGUUCGCAUAUUGAGAAUGCAAAUAGGUGCUAGUCUUUUGAGCAACAACUUGAGUCAAACCAUAUAAUGGAUUAGUAGUAGAGUCAAAAUCACAAUUAGUUACACAAAUGCCGCCAUAUUCACUCAUAUCAUACUAAUUUGAGAAAAUUUUAAAUAAGGAUAUGAAGUGGAGUUGUUUUCUCAAAAGAAGACCUGAAAUGGACGAAAUAGUGAAUUUAGUCUCAAAUAAGGACUUUGGCAUGGAUUUUACUUUGUGUUACAAAAUGCUCAAUGUGGUUGCGAUUGUGCUCUGGAUUGUUCUGGCUUGAACAAGAGAGAAUCAUAUGACUCUAGAAAAUCUAAUCCAAAGCAGUUGCGGAGACAAAUCGAAACAACAAAAUUUUCGCAUUGCCUCAUAUAAGGGUUUUGCAUCCCAUAAUGCGGUUCACUCGACUAUAAAAAGGUCACAAUUCUAUGUUGUUUACAAGAAGCUCCUAGGCACAAGGUGACUUUGCGAUACACCCUUCCACACGUUCCCUCAAGAAGCUCCCAAAACAAGCCCUUAUCAACAUCACCAUAGCCAUAGUCAAACACCCACAUCCACCCAUUCCCUCUAAGCUCUUUGACAUUCACAAAAUUGCAAUUUCCCGGAACCCCACAAAUUUAAGCUCUACACCUACUAAAGACUCCCUCUUGCAAUCCACGGCCUCGAAAAGAAGGAGAAGAGUAAGGUUAAGGUGUCUCGAGAUGGAAUUGACGUGGUCAAGUUCUCGUCUCUGUUGGUGGAGGAGUUGAGGAAGUGCCGUGAAGAGGCUGUUGAUGGUGACAGGAGGAAUUCAACGUCUUCAGUGGUGGUGACUGGUAUGAUCAUCACAACCAGAGCGAAGGAGGCUUGAGAAAGAUGAAGAAAAAUAAUGAAAAAUGGUUUUGGAUGAGAAUGCCCCCGAAGGUGGAUAGAAUUUGACUAGUUGGUGAGGUUAGAACCUUAUCUGAGACUAAAUUGGCGUCUUGAGACUUUAUUUAAGACAAAAUCCACUUCUUAGCAUCUUUUAAGAAAGCAACUCCACUUCAAGCCUCUGUAUGAAAUUUUCCCUACUAAUUCGAAUUCUAUUAUUUCAUAUCUGAAUUACUAAUUAGUUAUGGUUUAAAGUGACAUGAUCAAGUUAUUUAUUGCACGUGUGAAGGACAAAACUGAAUUGGGGUGCGUUUGGUUCGUGAAACUCAAAAUUUGAAAAAUAUUUCUCUAAAAAUGAUUGCUUAUGCAGCUUUCAAAAAUGAAUUAGUGAAAAAUAUUUUCAUCAUCCACGAAAAUAGCUAACAUUGUUGAUAAUGAAAAUGUUUUUCGUUGACUAAUUUUUCUAAACAAUUUCUAAACAAUAUAACCAAUCAUUUUUUAAAAAAUAUUUUCCAAACCUUAAGUUUUACGUGAAACAAACACACUUAAAAAUUUGGUAGUUUUUCAAUAUAGACCCCCUUUAUCAGGUAUCUAAUAAAUUUACAAGUACCUCAUCUUUGGAGAUAUAUUUGUAAUGUACAUUUGUUUAAGAAAAAUCUUAGGCAAGCUGCAAUACUUACCAAGACAGAGCAAUCUCCUACUUUCUAAUCACUAAUCACAUCAAUGCAAUGACAUGAGGGUAAUAAUAUUAACAGGUUCUCUACUCACUAGGGCAAGCAUUAAAGUAAAACCCCAACAUCACUCAGACAAGAGAACAUGGACUAAAGGAGCGAAAAAAGAGAAUCUGUUACCUUAUUUUCCUUUAGCACUUUUAGGACUUUCUUCGAUUCCCACAACCUGCUAUGGUAUUGAGGCUCUUCCCACUUCUUCUGGCGAACAAUUUCCCUACCAAGAUCUCUCAAUUGGUCAUGCAUUAUGAGCUCAUGAUUAUCUCCAACUUUUAUUAAUGACAUAGAACUCAAUUUUGCAAUUCCCUCCUCUGGAUAAAAGCCACAGGCGUCCCACAUGUAGGAUGCAAUUCUUCCAUCGGUCCCAAUUAAAAAACAAGCGACAUCCAAAAAUAUUUGUUGUUCACGAUAUUCUAAUGCAUCAUAACUUAUCUUUAACCUUUUUUUCACAUCCUCAUGAGGGACUUCUCUUAACUUUUUUAUCGUACCGCUCCAUCGUUUUGACUCUUUUUUGAACAAUAAUGAACCUAUAACCUGAAGAGACAAGGGAAGCCCCCCAGUUGUGGAUACAACUUCAUGAGCAAGGUCCUCGAAUUCACUUGGAGGAGAGCUCAUUCCAAACGCGUGUCUACAGAACAAGAUCAAAGAUUGGUUCUUAUCCAAUUCCUCAAGUUUAUGGUAGCAGUCCACCCUUGCACUUUCAAGAAUACUCCUGUCUCUUGAGGUAAUAAGGAUCCUACUUCCUGAAUAAAACCAAUUAUGAUUUCCAGCCAAAGCCUUCAACUAAUCAUAAUGGUCCACAUCAUCAAGAAGAAUGAGUACUUUCUUUUUCUUGAACUUGGAUGAGAGCAACAUAGUCCCUUCAUGUUUAUUAUGAACUUGGUUUUCUCCUCCCAAUAUAUCAAAGAUUAGCUUCUUUUGCAAGGACUCAAGGCCCUUAAGGUUACAUGAUUCCCUAAUAUCAGGAAUGAAGCUACGAGAGUCAAAUUGAUCGGAGAGCUUGUUGAAGAUAAUGUUAGCAAGAGUUGUCUUACCAAUGCCUCCCAUUCCAUAGAUGCCAAUAAAUAGGGUGACAUUAGAAUUAUUAGCUACAUCUAUCAUAACCUUCUCCACAGGAUUAUCAAUUCCAACCAAAUUCUUGGGAAUAAGCAAAUCAUAGUCUUUCUUCAGCUUGUUCGACACCGUUUGGACAAUCAAUCUCACUAAUUCUGCUUCAUUCCUGUCAAAGGCGACAAGAGUUCAAGUACGUGGCAACAACAAUUUUAUAUUGUUUAUAUAUUGAGAACAUAAUAACAAAAAUAUCUAAGAAUUGUUUUUGCUACCUCCACGUAUUAUCUUAAUGCUAACAUUAAAGUGAUUAUUGCCGGCGGUUGCUUCACAUGGCUAUUCCAUUAUUAUUCUAAGACAAUUUAUUUAGCGGGAAGAAACUUGAGGUACCGCUAAUAAAUCUUGAAUUUUUAUAUAGUAUCAAUUUGAAUCAAAUUUUAAAAUUUUUGUUUGUUUAGAAUUUUAAGGAUGACGUGGAUGUGACUUUGAAAACUUUCUAAGCAUUUGAAAUAAGCGAAAAUACAAUAAGCCAACUUGGUAUGAGAGUUCAACCAUCAAUCAAAUAGGUAAUAACUUUUGAUGCAAGAGGAAGUUAGUUCCGGUAAUACCAAGCCGGAAAGUUAUCCUAAGUGCCAUAUUGUGAACUACCUAAACACAAUUAGGGGGAUUUCACCUUAUAAUCGCAUGGGUGCAAGUUUCCUCUCAUGUCGUGAAUUUAGUGUCUUUCUAAAUUCAUUUUCUUAUCGAUCUUUAUCGUGUCGAGGGAUGAUAAAAGGUUGUACUUUACUUUCCUUUUUGAGUAUCUUUGUUCUAUGAUUAUAAUUUAUCCAAUGUUGAUUUUACUGCAAGUAGAAGAAUGACUUUUCCAGAAUAAUUUUUCCUCAAAAUAAGAACAAUGCUUCAAUUUAUGCAGGUGUAUGAGGUAAUAAUGUGUUGAAGGAAAUGCAUUGGAAAGAUAUGUAAACAAACAAAUAAUAAGGAUAAUCUAUUUUCCUUUUUAUAUGUACCAUCAUAUGAAAUAUUUCUUUCGGUAAAAAUGAUUAUAAAAGCAACUCAUUAACCACGUUAUAAUUCAAUAAAUGUAGCUUGGGAAGAUAAAGGAUUAUGGCUUUGGCUAUCGACAUGCACGGUAUAUGAUGCUAUUGCUUUGAAUGGGAAGCACCAAUAAGUCGAGAUAUUAGUCUCAAAUAAAUAUGAACUAGAAAAGUCUGUAAUGAAGACUAAUUUAACUUAUAAUUUAAACAUGAAAAAAGAAAUGGUACAGUGUUACAAGGCAUUUGGAUAUGGGUGAAAGUUCAUCUAAAAAAGCUUAUAUUAUUCAAGCGAAUGAGAUCAUUACAUUAGAAUUUAUAAUUAGGUGGGUCAUUAUCGUUAAAGUAAUUCCUAAAACUGAUAACUUAUAACACCCAUGCAUUGCAGGAUCUCAUCCCUUUUUUAAAAAACAAGAGAAACAAAAAGGAAGAAAAGAAUCUGCACCAAAAAAAGGAAGAAAAGAAAGCAGGUAGGAGUCAGAACAACAGUAAACCCCCACACAAAUUAAAAGAAAGUAAAGAAAGUGUUCGGUGAAAAAUGAAGUACCCAUCGGCUUCCCAUCCUUUCAAUUUACCGACUGCUGUGAGUGCUUGCUUAUAUUUCUCCAAAGUCACUGGGUUGAAAGGCUUCUCCCGCUUAAGAAAUGCACCUCCGAAACUUCCACUCUGAUGCCGCACGUCAGUUGGUUUCACUUUGUAGAAUAUAGGCAACACUAUAUGUCCCGUCUUAUUUUUCUUGCACUCCAUUAUUUGAAUCAGUUCAUCAAGGCACCAUUUGCUCAAACAAUAAUUCUCGGAGAGAAUGGGGAUCAAGAUCUUACUGUUCUUGAUGGCUUCCAAGAGAUCGGGGCCGAUCUCCUCGCCUUGGCGGAGCUUAUCGUCCAAGAAAACAUCAAUUCCGGCGUCGAGUAGCCCGCGGUAGAGGUGACUGGUGAAACCUUUUCGAGUAUCUUCACCUCUAAAGUUUAAGAACACCUCGUAAUGGUCCUCAGUCGGCGCGGUCGACGAACUAGAUGCGCCGGAAUCGGUUUCCACCGGAGAGGCCGACGAUCCCGCCGUCCCGGCAUCAGCAUCUUCUGCAUUUCUUCGCGCACUGGCUCUUUUCCUGUUGAGAAAAUUGAAAGCGAGCCCGGAAAGGAGGGUCAAUGCCGCGAGCACGGCGAAAGAGUGCCCAAAAAUGGGAGGAUGCAUUUCUUCUUUGCUCUGGAUUCUGCCCUCUGUUUUAUCUUCUCCGAGUCCGACGGCGAAGAAAACCAGAAUGCCUCUCAAGGAAAUACAGAAGAAGGGUUUAUGGUUCAGACACGCUCUUCCGCAAUGUUCUAUCAUUUUAUCAGCACUUCGCCCUUGCCAUCGUAGCCACAGCGAGGAGAGUCAGAUGUGGGGCCCCUUCGGUGUCGGUCCCUUUUCCCCCCUUUCACGAGAAAAUAUUGGGUGGUCCCGAACCACCCAAUAUUUUCUCGUGAAAGGGGAGAGAGGCGCGUGAGUGGUCCGGGACCACGCUGACGUGGCGGUCCCGGACCACCCAAUAUUUUCUCCUCCCCCUUCACGGUGUUCUGAAAUGUGGGACCACUUGGCGCCUCUCUCAUUUUUUUUGUUUAGGGCCCCUUCGACACCAUUCUCACCGUCAAGUCAACGAUCCAAGUUAACGUACUUUUGAGAAAUUUUCAUUAAAUUUUACCAUUAAAUAAUUACGUCAAAUAACACGUAACAAUUAAUAAAUAUAUCAAUUUAACAUUUUGCCAUCCGUUUAUUAUAAAUAUAUCAAUUUGUGAUUUUUUUUCUAAUAUUAAUCCAAUUUAAUCGAAAUUAACGGAUGAUAAAUUUGUCGUAAAUAUAUCUAUUUAGAUUUUAAAAUUUGAAUUAAAUUUUUCAUAAAUAUAUUAAUUUUAAAUUUUUAUAAAUAAAAAUUAAUUUAAAGUAAAUUUAUCUAAUUUGUGAUUUUCAUGAUGUUAACUCUUUACCAUUUUAUUUUAGCCCUUGCCUUUUCCAUUGGCCACAUCCUUUCAUUCCCUCGAUCUUGUGCAUUUCUUCCUCUUCUUCCUCUUCAUCUCCGUCUCACUUCUCCGAGUGCUCUCGCUCUCUCUCUACGCCGUUCCUCAACUGAUGUGGUUAAAGCUCUCAUUGAAUUCGUUCUUUUUUUCGACCAAAAAAGAAUUCGUUCCUUGCAGAACCGUACUCUUCUUCACUUAUCUUGAUUACGUUGGGAAAUAGAAAUGGUGAAUGUCGCCGUGCAUAUUUCUUCGCCUUUUCCUUCCUUGGGUUGAGCUUGCCUGAUUUCUCCACCCUGCGUGGGUCUCCUAUGGUCAAAUCAGAAACGCUGGGAAAAUAGUUUAAAUGGUGCUAGGGAGCAGGUCUUGUGGAAGUUAUGUUUAUCAAGAGAUCACGUCGGAUCGUGUCAAGCAUUCGAAGGAUGGAUACCAUUCAUAUACCAAAUGCCGGUGUGCUGCACACGUGCGAUCAUUACUUAAAUGUCUUUCAACAUUGGUACACCCAUUCAACUAUUCAUAAGAUUGGAGUACUUGGUCGAUCGCGUGGUUGCCCCUCUAGUGAUGUGAGUCGUAACAUGAAGGAAGAGAUGCAGCCUUUCCAAUUUAUUUUUCAGGAUGAAGAAUCCACCAAAGCAAGGAGGAAAAUCUCUCUGAUCAAUCCAUCCCACCUUUGAACAACUAGUAGCUCCGAUCAAUGAUGAGACAGAACCGCGUCGUAGAAGGUCAUGUCAGAAAGCGAAAGGAAAAAAGAAGAAACAAACGAGAAAAGAGGGACACCGAAAGGUAAGUGAUUUAUUGUUGAGGAUGGAAAAAUCCUCUAAAGCAAGGGGGAAAAUUUCACUGAUCAAUCCAUCCUAUGUUUAGACAGUUAAUAGCUCUAAUCAAUGAUGAGACAGAAUGCGUCGUGAAAGGUCAUGUUGGAAAGCAAAAAAAAAAAAAAAAAAAAAAAAGAAACAAACGAGAAAAGAUGAACACUGAAAGGUAAGUGAUUUAUUCUUUAGGACGAAGAAUCCUCUAAAGCAAGGGGGAAAAUUUCACUGAUCAAUCCAUCCUAUGUUUAGACAGUUAAUAGCUCUAAUCAAUGAUGAGACAGAACCGUGUCGUGGAAGGUCAUGUCGGAAAGCAAAAGGAAAAAAGAAGACACAAACGAGAAAAGAGCGAUGCCAAAAGGUAAGUGAUUUAUUCUUUAGGAUGAAGAAUCCCCUAAAGUGAGGGUUAAAAUUUCACUAAUCAAUCCAUCCUACCUUAGACAGCUAAUAGCUCAAAUAUGAGACAGAACAAUGUCAUGGAAGGUAGAAGAAACAAAUGAGAGAAGAGGGACACUAAAAAGUAUAGAGGUGAUCGGUUUCGAUCAAUAUGGUUCCACUUAGGAAUCGAUGACCAAAUUAGGAGAAUCGAUUCCCAAGUUUUGGGGCUAGGAACCAAAUGAGACUGAUGUAGGACUAAGAACUAGAUCGAACCGACUUGGUCCCAUGAAAUCAAUUACUUAGCAAAACAAAAAAAUUAAAAAAAAAUGAAGAAAAAUACAAGAAUUAUUACUCUUUUUAAGUUUUAUUGCUAUUUAAAAAAUAUAUUAUUUUUUUAAAAAGGUUGGUCCAAUCGGUCUGAUUUGGUUCGAUGCCUCUUCAGAAUCAGGAAUUGGACCAAUAAUCACUGGUUCCAUUUUUACGAAAUCGAGAACCAAACCGAUCCCUCUAGGAAUCGGACCAAACCAACCAACCCGGGUGAUUCCUGAUUUUGACGGUCUGGCAUGCUAUAUUAGGAUAGAUAUUUCUAAAACUGAUCAAUUUAUGAAAAAUAUUUUUUUUAUGAAUUAAAAACAAUGUGAUUAAAUCAAUGGAAAAUGACUUCCUCUUUUGCCAAGAUGAAAAUCAUUUUUUUUCUAAAUAACCAGAAAAAAAAAACUUAAAUUUUCUCAAAUAAUUAUUUUUAUAAAAAAUAUUUUCUAAUCAUAAAAUAUUUACUAAAACAAACGGAGCACUGACUUGGAGACAAAAAUACUCCCUCCAACAAGUCAAUGCUCGGAAUUAUCUUCGCUUUUAUUUAAUUUAUUAUCCUGGUAGACUUAUUUAACUCCACAAAAACUCCCAAUUCCUUCCUCGCUCCAAACCCUUGAGUUUCCCCCAUCGUCGCUGCUCCACUCACACGCCUCCAUAGCCCUAACCCCAAGCCAUCGGUCAUUCUCCGCGGCCCCAACCUUCUCAAGUCCUAAACGGGGUAUACUCGGGGUUUUCUAUCUAAUCGAAUUGCUACCAAUCAAUUAUAUAUAUAUAUAAACAAAGAAGGGAAAAAAAGCUAGGUUGAUUGGAAACGUAGAUGUAAGUGUUGCGAAAGUGUUGGUCAUUUGCAACUCACGGUUUGGCGUUUCGAUUACGUGUAAUAAGAAGUUAUUUUCCACAUGAUACCCUUUUGGCACCUUAACUUUCAAUUAAGUCAUUCGAAUGAAAAUAUCAUUAAUUUCCUAAAUUUAUUGAAAAGAUUUUGAUUUUUUAUCGUAGAUGUAAUAAGGGAACUUCCUUUAUUAUUUAUGCCCUAGUAUGACUUCGUAUGCCAUAUGUGUUUGCUUUAUCAAAAUAUGGAUGGAUCUUAAUCUGUAAGGUGUGUUUGCAUGUGCAAUUGGGUAAUGACGUAUAAUUAAAUGAUACAUGCUUAGUUUUGAAAUUGACGGAGAGUGUUAUUGUUUGACCUACCUUUUUUUUCUUUUUUUGAACAGAUAUUGUUUGACCUACUUGGAUUGCGGUAUAUUCGUCCUUUUGGCCUUAUAUGAUGAUGAUUCUGAAAGCUGAAAAUAUCUUUGAGAAAUUAAUUAUAGUUAUUUUCAAAGUUUUUUGGGAAAAUCAUGGAAUCCGUGGGGUCUCGAAUCAUGAUCCGAGGGAACCUUUAGCUCCAUCGCUUUUAGGGUAAGGCCACCCUAAGACUGCCACGUGGUAGUCUCAUUUGGCCGUUUCUUAAGCUGCCACUGCCCUUUUUCUUUCUAAAAAAAUAUAUUUAGUAUUAAUUAUUUUUUUCCCAUAUUUGAUAAAAUUUUGACUGGAUCUAACUUUUCUGGUGUGAUGUCGAUUGACAAAAUUUUUACUCCCACAAAAAGUUUCCUACCCCAAAUUUCUGAAAAUGUCAUUUGAUCCUUGAAAAUAUGUCAAGAUCACAAAUAUCCAUGAAUUUGACUGAACAAAGAUGGUGAUGAGAAAUUAUGAUUUUUUCUCCAUUACAAAUCUGAUCACUGUGAUUUUUGCAGCAUUGGGAAUUUUAUAACUUGGACCGUCUAGUAGAUUUAAUUGAUUGUGGCAAAUCAAAAAAAUACUUGACACUUCAAGAUAUGAUUGUAAGUAAAAGAGGUAAUAUAUUUUGCAGUGUCGCAAAGUUUUGAUUUAGAUAAAUUCGGUAUUGUUGUGGAACUAUUACCCCAUUGUUCAUUUUGGUCUUUGGUCGAACUUUUGAUGAAGUAAUAAUUUCGGUCAGUCUUGGUCAAACUUUAGGUCAAAAUUUCGGUAUUUAUGAUGAUAAUUAAUCUGAACCUGUUGAUAUUUGAUAAAGAAGGACAACAUAAACAAAGUGCAUCGCGCGGGAACUAAGGAGCCAAAAACAGGAUGGUUAUCCAUCUUUCAGUCGCUUUUGCCUCUUCAGAAAUGUGAAUGUCCCCUGGAAAUGUGCAAGAUAAUUAUUAAGAAUGAUUCCAAACAGGAAGGUCUCCUGCUUAAGUGUCACCUGGGGGUUUACAGCGCGGCUGUCGGCUGUAAACCGGUUCCUCCGGCACCAAAAAAAAAAAAAAAAAUGAUUCCAAACAGGCGGCCAGCGCAUGAUAGAACCCACCCCGGAAAAAAGUGAGCAAACGCGGACCAUCCACUUUUCACUUUGUCCCACGGAAAGUUUGACUUUUUUCGUGACCCAAAAUCGUGGAUGUUUCGGAUUCCAGAUGUGACCAUGAAAUUGCUCAUAGACCAGCAGACAUCAUGUACAUUUCAUAUGUCCAGGUGAGACGAGUGAGGGAGUGACCCAGCCAGAUGCUGCUGUCUCUAGAUCAGCCCAGAAGACGUUCAAAAAAGAGGAUCUGGAAUUCACAAUUGAUUGAUUGUAUUGGAAAAGGGGAGAAUUCACCCAAGCUCGCGAUGCUUGCGGGAUUAGCUUUCUAUUUGUUGCAGAUAUGAAAACCAUGAAGUCCAUUUAACUAUUCAUACUAGCCCCGAACAUAUCAUCUCGGCAACCUAAUACAGCACGUAAUAACACAACGACCAAUUUAUCCAUUCACCAUUUGGGACAUCCGAUCAAAAUGAAACAAGCACAUUCGAGGUCGAUUUGUGACUUUGUAGUCCAAAACAAAAGCAAAUAAAAUAAAAGAGAUGAAACUACUAAAAAGAUUACUAGUAACAAAAAAUCGAUCAUGAAUUCUGCCGAGACAAGAGUCUGUUUCAACUAUGGAAAUGUCAAGAGAAGCCCAAUUAGCACGAAUAUUCAGUCUCUUAUACAUUAUAAACCAGAUGUUUCUCAUUCUUUGCUAUAAGAAUUGGAAUUUUAAUGCGGAUGAAUAAGGGAGUUCUGCUAAUGUAGCCUCCCCCCUUACCAAAUAUGAACAAGAAAUUUUCAACUCUAAAUAAGUUCUGAGUCGUAUCAAGACUUCCCCCCGCAUCCUCUGCAUUAUCAUCUUUAACCAUCAGAGGAGGCACGAUGGUUCUCGAUUACUUAGGCGAAUUUGGAUAAUAUAUUUCGGUCUCAUGGUGCAUGCAGAACACGCAGAAUUGAUUUACUUCAAUUGGACAGAGUUAGAAAACAUUCCUUUUUUUGGUUUCNNNNNNNNNNNNNNNNNNNNNNNNNNNNNNNNNNNNNNNNNNNNNNNNNNNNNNNNNNNNNNNNNNNNNNNNNNNNNNNNNNNNNNNNNNNNNNNNNNNNCCCCCCCCCCCCCCCCCCCCCCCGGCCAAAAAAAAAAUACUAUUGUCCGAAGACAAUGCCAAGAUGAGCAUCAAAGUGACAAGAUGAGCUCUUCACAGGCAAACAUCAGCUCAUUCUCGUACCUCUUCAGCACAAACCUCUCUUCAGAUGCUAUAAUGGUGGUGACAACACAUUUCUUGUCUGAAAAUGGCUUCCUACCUGUCCUUCCAGCUCGAUGAAGGUAAUCUACGGCACUCCUCGGAAGAUCAAAGUUGUAAAUAUGAGUUGUUUCCGGCAGGUCAAUACCUCCGUCUGCAAUCAGUUGCUAGAAUAAGACAGCCCUCUUUUUGUCUCACUUCCUGUGGUCCAAAUAUGGAGGAUUAAAUAUGAAGUCGGACUAUACAUAUUUUCACCAAUGGACUGCUUAAGAUGUGCUUAGUAUACCCAUAUUUAGCAUGACGAGGAGUAUAUGCCUAUUUUAACUUGAGAAGGUCUACUUUAGGCAUUAAUAAAGGUUAUGAAGAAAGAAAGAAACGGUUUUCCUAAAGAAAACACAGUUGUAGCCAGAUAAUUUUCUUAAGUGGUAUGAUCUCUUUGAUCCUGAUUAGUGCUACCAAAUAAUAAUGGUCUGUUAAGGUUUUGCAGCAUCCUUCCUCCUAUCUAAAAAAAUCCAGCAUCUCGGAUCCACAGAGAGUAAGGGUAAAAUCCAUCUCGUUCCAAAUAUAUUAUAGGACAAACACAGUUGAAGGGCAUAUCUUUAAUAUGCCAAAUUUCUCAACCCUGAGCAUUCUCAAAGUGAGGGAAGAAACAUCAUGAUGGAAAAAGUGAAAAGCACUUACCGAGAGCGAAGCUGCUCGUGCAUUGAAAUUCAUGUCUUCUUCUAGAAGGAGAAUAUUAGAGCAGCUUCCAUAAGAAUUCUUCAAGAAUUCAAGUAGAAGAGUUGUUGGUCGUACAUUUCCAGCCUUUUUUGACUUCUCAGACUAAACGCACAAAAGAUAGAAUUGGUUAGUGGACCCGCAGACAGUUGUUUAGAAAGGUGUAUUCACGUGAUAUAUGUGUGCUCAUGAAUGCUACAAGCUUCUGUAGAAUAUAUAAAUAAAAGCUGCAUUCACUUUAAUACAUUCCAAAACCCUCUCUGUGCAGGAAAACUUUCAGGACGUUGUAAAAAAUUCUCCAUAUUUUGGAAACCAAUUUUCAUUCAGAAACAGAGAGAAAUGUCAUCAGAGCAUAAACUUCUUUCACUCGUGUAAAGAACUGCAUAUAUGUUUUAUUUGAUGCCCCUGCAUAUGGACAGAUGACCUUACUGAUAAAUGCAUGAAACUCUCUUCAGUCCAUUUAUUGUAUCAAACUGAUAGCCCAUUAGACAUUUUUAGCUAAGACCACUAAUCACUGCCACAUGAAUUGGGGACAGAGCCUCUGCCAUAUCAUACAUCAGUUGAUAUGUUUCGACAUCAUUUUUCAUUAUCCAGAUAAAAAUCUAUUUCUUCCUCUCAUUCUUAUAACAAGUACAGCACCAAAAAAUGUGAAUAAACUACGGAAAAGAGAUGCAGGAUGAGCAUCAGGCAGUAUACCUGCUCGCCAACAAAUAUAAUGCCAGAUUCGGGGUUGUCCCACUGUAAUAAAUGUAGCGAGGUCCGAUGUCUCCAACUCCUAUGACAUGUCUGAAACAGAUGGAAGCGUUAAGCAAGUCAAAAGCCAAGGAUCAUCAAUUGAGUACAUGGACUAUGAAGAUGAACAUUAAAUGAGCAUAUACAUAACUUCUACGAAAGAGUCUGUAGAUCAAAUCUCGCAUUCAAUGUCCUCACCACAAACCUAUGAUCUAGACAUGAUGGCAUAGGCUGUAUUGGAUUGACGUGAACGUGAACCACCUCACCCUGUAAUAGGCAAAGUCAUAUUAAGAUAAAAUCAGUGAGUGCAUGAGUAAACCCCAACAGAACAUUCACAAGAAUUAUAGCUUCAUGAAACCAACCUUAGUCCACUUCUGUUGUAUACAAUCAUGUAAAAAUCGCUUAUGCUGAGGUAUGGAUGCACUAGCAAAAACAGUUCGACGGUUGUUGCAUGUGAGUAUGAUGUCAACAGCUUCCGAAGAGAGUUGACUUGCUUAGAAGAGUUGAACGUGAAGUCUACCUAGGCAGCAUCAAAGUAAGAAUGUCAGUUCUUCAACCUACAAUAUCCAGGAAGAAUUCUGUCUGUAUAAAACAAGAUACCGAGGCCCCAGUGGGAUAAUUGCACAAUUUUAAUCAUACUAACAUGGUGAUUACAAAGUACCCAAUGAAAUAUACUCUCAACAAAAUAGACCAAUCGAGGCACUACAUGCUAACUGAAUAUCCUUUCUUAAAAAGGACCCUGCACCAGUCACUCUAAUCCCUAUACGCAUAUAAGAGGCAAUAAACGCCCACCUUAAAAAUACUCUUAAUUCUAAAACCAUUAAAAAAAAUUGGCCCCACUAGUGAAUGCCUGGGGAUUUUUCUGGAGGAGAAAGUGAUCUAGCAUCUUAACAAGAAUAUGGGGUUAAUGAAUCAGCUUUAAGAUGCCAAGCGGGUGUUGCUCUGAAAAGAAGAACUCAAAUUAUUCCUAAUUAUUUACCUCAUCAAUCACUAGAAUCUGCACUGUGUCGAGUUCAAAAAACUUGCUUCUCCAGCAUCUGGCACGAGCUCCUGAUGGUUGCCACUACUAUUGCUGGGGGUUCUGCCUAAAAAUGUUACAAGGAAAAGCCAAGGAGGUCAUAUUGAAGGUUGACGCAUGAAAUCCAUCAACAGGGUGCUUUAAUUUUAGAGAAGCAUCCCAAAGACAUAGCUACAUUAGGCAAUUGAUAUUUGUUGGCACUUGAAUGGACAAGUGUGGGGUUUGGGUGGGCAUAUAAUUGCCAGCUUGUGUUAUCAUGCUUCUGGUCAGACAGGUCCUCUGUUCUCAGGUUUAAAAACAUCAGCAAGAAAAUUUUAGGUUUUUCCUCUUCUUAGUACAUCCAUAUCUAAGAUUCAUGAUCUCAAAAGCAGGAAAUUCCACUAAAACUAAAAUUCUAGUUACAGGGGUACUUGUAAGAGCGUGGACAGAAUAACAACAUAGAGGAGCAAGACAACCACAAAUAUUCAGUCAAGAAAAGGUAGACAACUAAACAGACACGUAAGCAUCGACAAAGAGACAAACUUAUUUUGCCCAAAAAUGGAAGAAUUAAUAGAAGCUGUAUUUAACUGAGUAAACUAAUGCGUGGAAGAACAGUUUUGCAUGAGUUGCAGGAAAAAAAAAUUUUGCAUAAUUAAACGUACACAAGCAAAUGGAUAUCGGCAUAUGAUAUAUAGUCAAGAAAAGGAAAAAAGCACAUAAUACAAAAACCUUCUAUUUUACAGAGCGAUCACAAAAAUGUCAUUGAAGUAUAUAGGAAGAUAGCUCUGCUAAUGAUGUUUAGGUCACCCAGGAGAGGGAAGAAAAGUAGUACCAGCUAAGCAUUUCAAUAUUGAUUCUCCAUAACUUCUCCUACAUAAGGAGAAUACCAGUCAUUUCCUCAGAUCAAUAAGUAAACUAAUUAUACAAGGGGUUUUGAGAAUUAAUGUUUCUAUUUAUAAGUUGUAAUGACAGUUAUUUGUAGUUUAUAAGCGCUAGCUUAACUGUAAUUUUAUGCUCAGAAAGCACACCACACACAUGCGCACACAGAGAGAGAGAGAGAGAGAGAGAGAGAACCUUUGACCAACUCCUGUGUCUUUUCAAUGUACCUUCAUCUAGAAGAGCCAUAACAGUACAUGAUUUAUCUUGCUCCAUUUCAAGAUUCAUUGGCUUUGCAGCCAACAGCUGAGCAACUUUGGCUACCUUGUCAUAAAUGGAUAACAAUAAGAAGAAGACAUGACAUUGUGCUCUUAAUGUAGCAUGACACCAUUUUGUGCAGAUGUAACAACCACUUUCUGAGUUACAAUAGUGAAAGAGAAUCAGAAGACAAAAGGGAAAAUAUCAAAUGAAAUAUCAUAAUCAGAAAUUUACCAGAAUGCCAAGUUCUCGGGUGGGGACAACUAUUAACGCUUGUACAGAAGACCGUUGGCUGUUCAUAACUGAAAAUAUCCUCAGAAGGUACGUCGGCGUCUUCCCAGAACCUGUCUAGAGGGCCAAAAGCAUGAGUGCACCGGCCAUGUCAAUGCAGGAUCCUUUUACGUUUUCUUCCCUAGUUGAGUUUAUAUGCAGAGUCAAAAAGUAAUUCCAAUUGAGUUGGAAGUCUGAACAUUAACAGGAUAGAUCAUAUCACAUCAGACACAUAUUAGAUCACUCUUUUCGCAAACAUCUCCUCAAAACUCAAUAAACACAACUGUGAAUUGACCAAUAUAGUGGGAUACUUCAUGACUGCCUAGUACAGAGCAAUCUUUAGCCCUUUUGAAAAGUUGCAAGGUAGUUCUUCCAUUGGCGUUUUCUACCAAAUUGCCUACGUGAGAAACUUUCCAGGAAACCGGGAAACUGACGUGAUAGAUUAAUUAGAUAUCAAACCGCACAUUCAUUUAAUAGCUUUAGAAUAGUUGGCAGGGGUCCACAAAAUUUCCAUGGUAUCAGCUAGUGAUCUCACAAAAUCUCACAUGAUGAUGGUGCAAUCUUUUAAAAUUUUAAUAAAGGAUUUAAGACUGCACUAUACAAAUUAAAAGGCUCCCGCAUCAGACUUAAUUGCAUUCACUGCCACUUCCAAUGUUCUUUUCUCGUUUUGUUCUUAACAGGAAACGGAAAUCAAUGGUAAUAAGAGAUCAACCCGAGCACGAAGCACGCAAUCCCUUCCAGAGAAAAGGGCAGGCAAUGCUUCCCUCUGAACGUCAGUCGCUAAUACGUACCCAACUUCCUCCAUCCUGCAAAACCGCCCAAACAUAAAUUCUCCAUAUAGCUCCGAAAACCCAACGUCGGCAAAACAACAUCUGUCACUUCUCGCUCUAAAGUAACAAUCUUUGAACUUGGAAUUCGCACUUGCCUGCGCAGGACAUGCUCGGGCACGUGGCCGCUACAAAUUCUUCUCAGCGUGGGAGGGGCUGGCUCUGGGUCGGCUUCGUCCGCCGCGGGGAGAAGCUGACAAGGGCUCGCGGCGGCUCGUGACAGGACGUGGAGAGAGGAUAUUGAAUUGCGCGAGCGGCGACGACGGUCGAGAACUUGGGUUCGAGUUUGCGGAGAAGGAAGAGGGACGAAGGAGAGACAAGCUUUGUCGCGGAAGAAACGGCAGGACAGUGAAAGGAGACCGGAGUGGGAGGAGGAGAAGAAGAAGAAGAAGAACAAGAAGCCAUUGACGAGCAAGAAGCUCGCUCCUCGGACGAGAGCUGCGAGCUGCGACAGAGAAAGGAGACCACGUGUUGAACGAAUUAGGCUUCAAUGUUAUUUUUUGCAAAAUUGAUGGUAAUUUAUUUGAUUUAUGAAUUGAGACUUUUCACUAUUUUUUUCUUUUACUUCGGCUGGUUACAAGCUGAUUCACACGGGAAUUGGUUUGAUUCCGAGUAAAGAAUUUGAUAACCGACUUUGAUCGAUUCAGUUCUCAAUUAUUGGAAGAAUGGGUUUUGAAUUGACUUUAACAGCUGAUUCUCUAGUUAAACCGAUUCAAAUCAAAAUUCUAAAAGUUUCUUAAUUGAGAACUUUUACAUUGCCUCGAAUUAAUGACAUUAAGCAUUCUAGCACAUAGAUGUCAGCACAGUAUUUUAAAAAAUUUAAAAAAAAAAAAAAAAAAAAGGCCGAUGCCAGGAAUUCAGUUCAUUUCACAAUUCCAGUAACUAGAAACCGGUUUUAAUAAAGAUAGGUUCAAAGUUCAUGAUUUAAAACUCAACUACCCUAGGAACAAUCACCCUUUUCCACACCUGUACACAUUUUCUCCCCCAUGUAAUUCAGGAGGUCCAUGUUAGGAAUUUGAUCGGAUUAUAUUGUUCAUCUUUAGUUGAUUUCAACCUCUUAGCUAAAAAUACUCCUCACUUUUUUUUUAAUUUUUUAUUUAUUUAUCGCAAGACAGAUCUUUGAAAAUUGAAGUGGCUUUCUUGAGAACCUGCCCAAGUUUCCUGCCGUUCAUAGUAACUAAUCAGGUUGCUAAUGGGAAAAACAUUCAUAUAAUUCACCGUUCAACAGCCUACAUCGGAAUAAAGCAGCAGGAAACAGCUUCCGAUUUCUCUUGCUUGAGGUCCCAUUCCCCUAAGUGAAACUCCAAAUACGGACCAAAGAAGAAGAACCAAUGAAGUUGUUUCUCAAUGGAGUUGUACUUCCAUGAAACCGUGCUAAAGAAUGGUAGGUAGAGUUCACUCCAACAGUCCGCCUGAAAAAAUAUACAGUUCAUCAAAAGGUAAAACUGAACGGCUCUAGCUCUUUCCCGGAAUCAAGAUGUAAGAUAUACGCAAAAUCAGGCCGACCAAGCUACCUCUACCGACAUCUUCUAUUUGCACAGUCCGAUUAGGUUGUCUGCCUUCCAAGUUGAUGAUAGCACGGUGGCCCAAGGGUUUGGAUGGGGAGGGAUCAGAGCUCCGGCGUCAUAUCCCGCCACUGGGUUUCAACUAGGUCUGUUAGAAAGGUUUCAGCAUUGAGAUGGUGAAACAAGGCUCCACCGGCCAUGUCCAUGUCCACAACCCCAUCAACUCCCUUAAAUGCAACACGCAAUUUCAUCAAACUCGACACUUUCUUAUCAUCCUUGCGCGACAUGCCGGUCACAUGGAUAACAUCUCUUGGAACUUUACCCAUUAAAUCAAAUAAUGGCAGAUCUAGGUUUGACCGAGUCAUCUCUUCCAGCACCGGAGGUGCCUGCAUGUAUAGAUUCUUCCCCCUAUGCGUGACGCUUGCUCUUGAUAGAAGCAGCCUUGGGUGCUCUUCGAGCAUAUUGAUGAACUGAUGACAUACAAGAUGAAAAGAGAUGACGAGUAAUCAGAUAACUGCAAGAACUACCCAAGUGCUUAGAAACAUGUGAAGAAGGUUACAGAGAGAGCUAUACAGGAUAAAAACCUCUAGCUAGCAUUCCCAUUAAUUUGUAGCGAGUAAUAAACAGAGCUUAAGAACAAGAAAGCACCUUUUGUAGGGUCACUGAAAUGUCCAACUCAAUAAGAACACCAGGACCACAGACAAGGCAAUCCUUAUCCCUCACGAACUCAGUAACUUUAAUGUGAAGUCCUUCCACACCGUUGUAUCUGAAAUUCAAAAAUAUUAAAUAAACUCGCAGCUCAAAGUUUGCCCACUUUAAAGAACAAAAUUGGGAUUACUGGGCAUUUGCAAGCUAGCAACUAGACAAAGCGUGUAGAACUUGCAAGUUUUCGCUCAUAGAGGAUGGAUACAUACAGACAGCACAUUAGUAAAUUCAUCUACUGAAGCACUGAUCUUCAGAUGUACUGAUCAGUAACAAAAGCAGGAUAUGACACAGGCCGGGAGAGACAAAAGUAAAACUAAGAGAUCUCCAAGAAAUAAAUAAAUAAAUAAAUAAAUAAUAUAUAUAUAUAUAUAUAUAUAUAUAUUAGCAUAUUCAUACAUGUCUAAGAAAUAGCAAGUAAACAAUUCGGCAUCACAAGUUUACGACCGAGAUGCACUCCAUUUAACCUCAAGUUUAGAGACUCCAGCACUGAGAACCUUUAAUUGAGUUGCAACAUGUCACCUGAUAAUUUACGGAAAGCUUGGAACAUAAGCUAUGGAGGUCACACUAAGAGGCUUGAGAGCCAAUGAGAAAAGAAACACAAAAUAUAACAGAAUCCAAAUAUUAGCACCCAAAUGUUGCACCCACAGCCAAACGCUCUGACAGAAGGCUGUUUCUAAAAUUACUCGAAACCUACCCCCAAGCCAGCAAGUUAUUUUAAGAACCCAAGAAAGCUAGCAAGAGUACAUUUUUCUAGACAUCUGUCCAAGAAGCGACGGACACGGAUGUUAGAAAACACAAAAGAGAGAUUCAACAUAAGAUCAGGAACAGCUGACAAAAGAUAUUUAACCAAGAACACCUUAUACUCAAUCAAGAAAGCGUGACUGUAAAGAACUAGCAGAGCAAUGUAAAAUGAUUCCAGAGAGACCAUAACCAGAGGGUAUUUUGAAGAAUCAAUUGUGAUGAAGAAUAGAAAGAUUGUUAGUGCAGCAACAACAAAUAGAUUAUGCAGGCUGCCCGCUUCAACAGUCACCGUUUAGGCAUGUCAAACUAUAACAUGUGUCUCAUCUCCAUAAACUAAAAGGCCAUAUUCAAAGAUAUGCCCAAGUGUCACACUAGAUAGUAAGAGAAGAAUACAGGAAGCAAAUUGGUUAGCCCUACUUGGUAUAUUCUCGAAGAAUAAAAACACUUUCAGGAAUCUAAAACAGCCCAAGAUGAAAUACAAGAAAGCCUUUCAGUCACUUCUAGUAUAUAAUAUUAAAGGAACCCUACAAAGUUCUGCAGGAUGAAUUUUGCCUUAUACUUGAAACAAGAACAAGAUGCUAUCCACAUCCAAGAUAUACAGGAAACAAAAAAGAAUUUUACACAAUGAAGCACAUGAGAACUGUAAAAGGCAAGGUACGACGCACGUUAAGUAGUUGGAUAAAGUUUUGCUGCAUCCAGUUGCAAUCUUCAAGGUUUCCAGAGCACAAGCAACUGAUAUGAUUGCAUUAGUUGAAGCUAUAGCUUGUAUGAUAUUUUUCACAACACCCUGGAUAGAAACAAUAAAAAUGAGCUUAUCUUGAAGUACUAAUCUUAUAAUUAAUCACAUGAUAAAACGAAGCAAAAUGAGUUUACUCGUAAUUGUAAAAGUUGACAUAAAAAAUAGGACGACAAAUCAAGUAGGGUUUACAGCAUGACCUGAGGAAUUUAAUAUUCUCUACCAUUUGCCAAAUAAUCAAAGCGUAGAGAACAACUCCAGUAUUAGGAUGAAGCACAAAAUCAUGAAUCUAACUCACAAUACUUAGAAGUUUGUUGUCCCUACUUAUAAGAAAAAUGCUUCCUUAAGAUUUUUAACAUAAUGACAACAGCAAAGCAGAUUGUAAAGCUCAGUCAUAUGCAAAAAAGGAAAAUCUCUAGGCCGUUAACAACAAUAGGAGAACUAAUGCACCUGAGUGAGGGAAUAAGUCACUCCUGGAAUUCUGAAUAGCUCUGCUGUUUUGACAGCCUGCAGAUCAAGUUUUUAAAAAAUGAAUAGUCCAAAAAGAAAAUUAAUGUCUGGACAAAUCACCAAACAAUUUGAUUGCAACUGUAGUAACCUCGGAAUAAACCCACUACAUAUGUUCUGGAUCAUCAGGAUCAAAUGACUUUCCACUAUGGACCUACAGGUGAAAAUCCAACACAAUGACAAAAUAAGAUACAGUACUUAAAUAUAACAGAUCACAUGAUGAACGAAUUGGACAGCUUACAAAGUUAGCUCAUCACCUCAUCCCAUUUUAUUAGAUGUGCAUAUUCAAUACAAUGAGCAGCAGUUCUCGGGGUUUCUGCGAGAGUACAGAGAGGAAAUUUCACUUGUGGAGGGAAAAGCCAGAUGGUACACUCGAAGCAUGGGGUGACCCCUGGUUUUAUAACUCUUGCAUGCCCCUUAAAACCUUCCGUCCCACCAUCCACCAUGGGUUUCAUCGUUUCUUCCCUUGGAUUGUCAUCAGAAUCGUAUUCUGUAAUGUCAUUCGACAACAGUGAAGCUCAGUCAGAUGGUGAGCUAGGUUGGCAAAAGCUCCUACUUCCAGUACUCAUCAGAAAGCAUUAAUUGCCUAAACUAGCUAUUAGUCAGAAUGCAGCCACUAUUAGAUGUUUAAAGAUCAUUAAGGACCAUAUGCAGUAAAUUGAAAUUAAAGCUGGAAUUUUGAGCCAAAGAAGAAGCUUAAAUUGACAAGAACAACCAAUAUGAAUAUACUUACAACCAAUAUGUUUCCCUGGAUGCUUGGAAGAGCUAACAAAUAAUUGGAAGGUUGGAAUGAAUCUUUAAUUUCUAAAGCGGGGAAGGAGAUAUUACUAAAAACAGUAGUGCAGGCUCUUCCUCAAUAUGAAAUGUCAAUUUUUCAGAUUCCUGAUUCCAUAUGUAGAGCGAUUGAAGAGAGAAUGGUAGCAUUUUGGUGGAAAAGCAGAGAAUCUCACUCUGGUAUUCAUUGGAAGAGUUUUGAUUUCUUGAAGCAAAGGAAAGAUAAUGGAGGCAUGGGAUUAGAAGAUUUACUUUCUCUUAACGAGGCUUUCUUAGGUAAGCAAGGCUGGAGAUUGAUGCACCCUCUUUAUGGGGUCAAAUUUUUAAAGGGAUUUACUUCCCAAAAAGGAGCUUUUGGCAUGCAAGGGAAGGGCAUAGACCCUCUUGGGGCUGGCAAGGCUUACUAGAGGGAAGAGACUCAAUCUCAGAAUCUUCAAUGUGGAUAGUGAACAGGAGAAGCAAUCAGUAUCAAAGAGGACAGAUGGUUGAAAAGAGGAGUAAUUGGAGGGCCAGCAAAUGAAAAUGACCCACAAUAGGCAGAGGAGCUUAUAAACCACGAAGAAAGUUUCUGGAAUGAACCUCUUCUUCGAAAAGUUUUCAAAGAGGACACUGGAAAGGAAAUUCUGACUAUUCCUCUCAGAUAUCACUCUACUCAAGACAAACUGGUGUGGAAUAGCAAAUUACAUAGUAAAGAGUGGCUAUAACUACAUAAAACUUACCGAGGACAUUCGUAAAGCUUCAAUGGCCUCCUCAUCUUUCUCAGCUCCUCGACCUAUAUAGAAUAAGAUCAGGAAAAUGCAAACAACCCCUAAAAUUAAGUUCUUCCUUUGGAAUGCAUGUCAAAAUAGUCUACCCACAAUGGAGAACUUACACAAGCGAAAAAUGGUAGCAGAUCCUCUCUGCUCCCUAUGUAGAGACCAAGUGGAAUCCACAUAGCAUCUCCUUCUCCUUUGUCCCUGGACGCAAGAAAUUUGGGCCCAACCAUCCCUAAACAUUCAGAAAACCCACCUUCUCUGUCGCUUGUAGCAACCAUCUUUAAAGGCCAACGAUCCCCUUGAGUUAGAGUCGGACAAUCUGACUUUAGUUAAAGCUAUGUAGAAUCCAGACCCUAUUCCAUGGGAUGCACACGCAAUCAUCUCCCAAUGCCUUGAUCUGUCAUCCGGCUUCUCACAUCUGUGUAUCACCCAUUGCCAUCGCGAAGCCAACUCCAUUGUGGACUGGGCCGCCAAAGCUCAGCGCCAAAAAACUUUGCCAAGGGAGUGGAUUUCUUCCCCUCCCCAAAUCGUUGGAUUUACUUCGUAAGGAAGCCCAGUUUUUGGCCCCUGUGUUUUCAAUUCGAAUUAAAGUUAAUCAAUUUAUGACCAAAAAAGAAAAAAAUUGGCUUCGUCACUGAAUAAGCAUAUCACCAAGUCAAUAGGUAAUUCACCACCUCUAGUGAUUUGCUAUAUAAUCCGCAUAUUCCGUGAUAUCUGCAUGGUUUAUGAUAACGACAUGUCCUACACCCAUAAAUAUAGAAAUAAGAUACUUCCACUAAUAGGAGAGAAUGUCAUAUGUUAAUAAUAUAUAUAUAAAAUCUAUCAAUCAAAUUUAAAAGGUUAGAUCUAUUCAUCAUAUAUAACUGUGCCGGGAGAACUUGAGGCAAAGUUGGUGUAAAUUUUUUAAUGCAUUUUGCCCUAUUGAAUUGGUUAAAUGAAAAUAGAGAAAAUGAGGUGUAAUUUUUAGUAAAUUAAAUCAAAACUGGCCAGGAACAAGAUUUCGAGUGCGUAUUCGUCAUCCAUUCCAAAUCCUCCCACAUGGUUAGUAUAGCGAGUCUUUCAUCAAUCAAGCUUCAGUAACCCAAAUAGAGCGCAGUCUCAAGCGAACAAACCUAGACUCUA
rnacentral:lncRNA from 1 species